rnacentral:lncRNA from 1 species
UUUUUUUGGGGUCUGGAACUUCAUCUCAAUAGGACCAACUAAUAUUGGAAUGACACAUGGUUGGAUGUGGUACUGUAUCCGUUUGAUUGAUGAUCGAUAUCUAUGCCAGACUGAGAUUUUAAACCUCCGUAUGAAUUAUUUUACAUAUACUUAUUGUAAUAGGUUUUUGUUAAUUGGUUCAUCAGAAUCCUUAUAGCAAAAUUUGUCAUUUCAUUUUUCUUAUGUUCUUUUGAGAUCUUGAGUAAUUUUGCAAAGUUGGUUUUUGGUUCCACCAGCUCAGACUAGAACUAAUUAGGGAGACUAUUUUUUAUCCUGACUGGCCUUUUAAAAUGUUAAGACAUUGCCCAAUGUCGACUUGGAAUUUGGUAGUAGCUUUGAAGAGUUGAUGUCAAGUUGACUAUACAUUUUAAGUUUUUGACAAAUCUUUCACUGGAGCUCCUUUUUUGUUUUGAGCCCUAUUAUUAAGAAAAGGGUUCGGUUAAUAUUUCUUGUCCAGACACUGAAAAAAAUGUCUCUUGUUCAGACACUAAAAAAACGUCUCUUGUUCAGACACCAGCUUAGACAAGAUGAAGGGACCUAGUCAAUUUCUUGAAGUUCUUAUCUCACAUACUACCAAGAACUCGAGCCUUUAAAAUGGUUGAUUUGGCUCUCUAUUGGUAUCUCAAGCAACUGUAAUCAUUGGAGCUAUUUUUUUCUAGUGUAGUGACUUAGCUGCUCUGAAGCAUAUGACUGAAAGGUGCUUAAGAUUUGUGUUAGAAAUAAUGCAUGAAACACAUUUGAAUAUACAUUCCUGAGUACAGCUAUUGCCUGCAAACCACAAGCAGGUUACCACAGAUUUGAGUCGGUAUAUGGGUCUUUAAACUAAAUCCUUAAAUAUGAUACAGAAGUCAGGUCUUUUUUGUCUGAGUUCGUUACAGCCGGUUAACUCUGAUGAAAGUCCAAUUGUUGCUUGCUUUUUUUUUUUGACACAAAUUGCCAAGAAGAUUUGAAUAUAAGGUGAUCACAUUUAGAUUGGUGCUGUUAGUUUAGCAUGAAUUCUUGCAUGCAUGAUGGGGAGAAGUGAUUAGAAAAGUGGUUGUCCUUGUUCUUUUGUUUGACUAGUCCUUUUACCUGGAGUUAUAUUUAUGCUUCCUCCUAUUGUUGGUGUUUGGUACAUUCCAAUCAUUAUGGAGGUACUUGCGUUGGAUUUCACAUGGUUCUUUUAUUUGUGGGGCUUGAAGUUUUGAUGACAAAUGCUUUGUUUCAUCUUUAUUUUUUUGUUCAAGUAAACUUGUGUCAUCGAGUUAUGUCUGCUUUCUCUGACUCUUGAUUCAUGACGUAUAUUAUCGACAACAACCUCUAAUAACUCUUUUUUAUCCGAUAUUGCAGCAACAAUCGCUAUAUUCCUAGACAACACCUUACAAUGCCCCUGCAAUCUGAACCCGGAAAAUCUAGUGGAUCAUUGUGGUGAAAAUGUCAGUCUUUGUUGUCCAAGGAUUUAGGAAUGCAGAUUGUAUACUGUGCUGUUUUCUUCUGGGAGUACCUGGGUAUUCUACUUUUGUGUGGCUACUGUCUUCACUACUAAUUAUGUAGAAUGUAAUCAGGAUCUACUACCGACUUUCCAGUCCAUCAGCUGCAAAUGAAGAUUGGUUUUAGAAUCUAGAUUUGGGUUGAUUUGCUUUUCUCUCAAACUUGUAUUAUCAUCUAAUGUUGAGUUGAGCAACCCCUGACUGACGGUAAUGGUUCUCACCCCCACUGAAUUUGAGCUUACUGUAACUCCACCUUGAAAACCUCACCACAUCAUGGAGUGAGGAAGAAGCCUAAUGACUUGACUGUUGUCAGUGCUUUCUGUUUUUUCUAAUAAAUAUGCACAUUUACAUACCUAAUUUGUAUGCCCCAUUUACAAUCCUAGUAGAAUAUAUGCUUUGAAGUAUCAAAUUUUCUUUAAUUAUUCAGUCGAAGAUGUUUAAAGUUUGAUUUUGUUUUUGAAAUAAAAAAAGUAACUAUGUAUUGAUUCAAAAAACAUAAAACAACCAAUGCAUCAGAGCGCAAGAAGGUUCUCAAGGGUGGCUUACGGGCAUUAGCAAGCCCAUUAAAAUAAUUCCAAGACCUUUGUGGUUAAGCAAUCCAAUUCAUCGGUCCUUUCACGCCUCCAAUCAUUAAACACAAAUCCCAAAUUAUUGUUUUCGAAUAAAUUGCAAUUAUUGCCGACAGUUCCUUCAACAUCGAACGCAUUCAAACACGCCUCAAAAUAACCUACCUAUGAUAUGGAACCUUCGCAAGCUUCAUCGAGUCAAUUCCGCGUUUUUGUCAUUUUCAUGGCUUGGUCAAUUGCUUCAUUUCCUUGUUCUCAUGCUCUCGCCCACAAGAUAUGAUUUAGAAUUCCUCCUAUCUAAGACCUAUCUCUGAUCCAUCUCCGGUAGCAAUCACAGCCAUGGCCAACUCUUUCUUCCAUGAGUUCAAGCGGCAGACCUCUCGCUUCCUCAGAUCGAACAUCAAGACAGCAAGAUUAGUCCUCACCGAUGUCACUCUGGCAGAGCUGUACGCCUCUUCGGCUUCAUGAGACUUGGUAUGUAUCGUGGCCUCUUCCCGAGUCGAUUAACUCCAUCCGGUCAUGCAGGCUGGCCGAGGAAGCAACAAGAACCAAGCCAUGGCCGCCGCGGGACACGAGGGCGCUGCGUGUCAUUUCACGGGCUGCUUUCGAGGUCGAUGAUUUCUGGAGGGUUGCGGAGGUUCUGCACAAGAGGUUUGUCUUCGCCUCGUGUGUUCUAAUCUCGUUCCGCAUGACGAGCUCUCAAAAGUUGUAAUCUGGAGAGUCGAUAACGUCUGCGUCAGGUUCAAGAGAUUUGAUCGGAAGCGAUGGAGGAAAGCAUACAAGGCUAUGAUACUUCUCGAACAUCUGCUGACUCAUGGGCCACUGAGCUUCGCGGACGAGUUGCAGAGCGAUAAGGACGUCAUACAGCGGAUGUGCAUCUUCCAGUACGUCGAUGAAAGGGGGUGAGGGCCUCAAACCAAAAGAUUCUGAUGCUGUUCUUGUUGUUGUGUAUUAGCUACAGUUGUCGUGGGAUGUUUUGUGCAGGCACAAUUGGGGAUUGACUGUGAAGAAGAAAGCAGAGAGGGUACUGAAGCUGCUAGAGAAAGGACCGUUCCUGGAAGAAGAGCGCGAUCGGCUUCGGAAGGCAACUCGGGGGAUCGAAGGUUUUGAUAGCUUCAAUUUCAGUUGGCCACUCACCAUUACUGUUGAAGAGGCCACACAAAACCACAGGAGAAGUAUUCACAGACAACAAGAUGAUGCUGGAACAGAGGAGAGGCCCUCAAAAGAAGAUUCAGAUGACAGGCUAUUGCAGAUUGAGAAUGGUGGAUGCAGUGUCGGCAUGAAGGUCCAACCAGCCGAGGAAUUAAUACCUCUUUUGUCCUGCGAAGAAGGGAGAAUGAUCCAAGUGUUGAGUCACCAAUUGUUUUGAGUACAAGAGAGAGCGGCAGUAAAGUUUGUGUGCCUCAACCCCUUUCCAGCCUUUGGGAGAGACUGCAUUGAUGUCACUACCUUGUGAAUUGCAAUGCACUGUUCAAAUAUGUAUAGUUAGUAAUGAGUCCUUAGGUCACCAUUGGACUUGUGUACAGGGGAGAGAGAGAGAGAGAGAGAGAGAGAACCAUGUGACAUUUCUCCAGCAAGGAGAAGAGGACAGCUUACAUUCUGUCUGCUUGCCAUUAUUUUGAGGAUAUAUAAGUUAGACUUCAUCACUUUGAUGAGCAUUAAGCUACUGCAAAUAGAUCUAUGCCGCCAUUAAUUUAGACUUUUGGUGCCAAACUGAUAGAAUGCUCUGCACACACAGAAUUCUAUGACAUUGAAGAAGGCAAGUGGUGUCUAUAAAACAACAAACUUCCAACUUAGUUGGCAUCCUCAAUACAUUGCAAUAAAAUUUAUAAAGUCAAAAGGACACAUCACAAUAAUUUUCUUACAAUAGAUUAGUAUGGUGAGGUGCAGCUGUCGUUCCAAGCACAAACUAGUCAAAAUCCUUGGUUUGUUUUCUGUGAUGACAAUGAUUCACAGUGUUUUGUUUGACCAAAAAAUACAUACUACCUUCCAUUUGUUCCAUCAUUUCCAAACUAUAUGACAGGCCCUGUGGCUGCUGUAACACACAACCACACAAAUCCUGAAGACACUCAUCCAUCUCACAACAUUGCCACUUCUGCCAAGAACAGAUGCCACAAGAUCACUUGAGUUUUGGUGAGAGAUACUGGGUUUCAUCUUAUUCAUUUGUUCAAGAAGACUUCGUUCAUAAAUAUGCCUACCGUAGCAUACGCGCAUUAUAUAUAUAUAAUGCCUCGGAAAGGUCUUGUUGGGCUCGCCGCUCAAGCUCUUCGUGUUUAAUCGGCGUCGAACAUGAGCACUCCAGGCAACCGGCGUUUGGUUCCGCAAUGCUGGUGGAGGCUUCCGCGCCGGCGGGCACUGUGAAGGUGCAGGAAUUUGGUGCCUCGAUGAGGUUGGCGCAUGAUGAACAUCGUCGUCGUUGAUGGGAUUAAGGAGCAAGAAAAUAAUUGAAAAUAAAAUGUUAUAAUACAAUUAAAAAAGAAGACUUCUAAUAAAAAAAAUAAAAUAAAAUUAAAUAAAUGAUAAGGCUAAGGACACUUACAAAAUAUUUUUAAAUGUACUUUUUUUUUUCAUGAAUCAUUAUCCUAUUUAUAGAAUCUAAUGGUAAUCAUCGUCUCAAAUCACUCGUGACUAAGUCAGAUAUAGAAACUAUCCCAAUAAUAAUAACUUUUUUAGAUCAUAUGCUAAGUAAUGAUUUUCUAUCUUUUUUUCGUCAUGUGAGGCGACUCUUCUUGAGGAGAUGAGUUAUUGAUGUGAUCGAUAAACAAAAAUGUAUAUAUCUUUUAUCCUAUUUUAGUUCCGAUUAAUUUAGUUUCAAUUCAUCGUGGGUGAAAAAAGAUACAUUAUAAUUAUAAGUUUAGUGAAUAUAAAUUGAAAACUUAACUAGAGGUACUAAUAGUGUUGAUUUUAUAAGUGUCAUCGAGUAUAAAAUAUUAAGUGAUUUAAUAAGAAAAUAUUUUAUUUAUAUCCUAUUGAUGUGACAUGCUCAAUUAGUGCAUUAUCAUCUUCGAGUUAACUAAUGCGACGUUGGGUUUUCAUUGAUUAAAAUUCGUUGUUAUAUUAUUUGCCCCAAUUAUGCUUUGGUUAAGGGUUUAUCUCAUUCCAAAGUGUAAUGUUUAUCUCAUAACCUAUUAUGUAUUUUAAAAAAUGAUUGUGUAGUCUCCAAUGUCUUUUUGUCUUAGAUACAUCAUACAUAAAUAUGCUUUUACUCCAUCAAAUACUUCGUAUGUAUUUUAUUUUUAUCUUAGAUAGAUAUAUCACACAUAAGGAGACACCUUGAUCAUAUCUUACCAUUCAAACACUUUUUUAAUGUUUGACAAACACAUUAUACAUAAAGAGAUACUUUAACUAUUUCCAAUGCUUGAAAUGUUUUUUCGUCUAAAGUGUUUUUUCAUUAGAAGCAUAUGUAUCAUGCAUAAGAGGACGCUUUGGCCUUGAUGAUCAUGUCAAGUGCUUCAAAUAUUUUUUUCUCUAAUUAGGAUAUAUCAGAUAUGAGGAUACAUCUUAGCUACAACAGACAUAUUUGUGCUUUAGGCAUAACAAUUCAUUUUACUUAUGUCAUUAAUUUUAAUAUAAACAUAUAAUUGAUACAUUAGUACCGAGAAAUCUUUUUCUCGUUGGGGAGUAUGUAUGUUGAAUUCCUAGAGAAUGUAUAAUUCUCUAUGCCGAUGAGGUGUGAGAAGAUUAAGCAUUUUUGACCAAUUGGGUUAGGUUAGGUGUUUCUAUCUUAAUAUGUUAUCAUUAACAUAUUAAUAGAGUUCUAAUAGAGUUUGAUCCGAUCAUUUUUUAAUAUGUUAUCAUUAACAUUAACAUCAAAGUAUGGAUGGCUCGAUGGCAAAAGUACUAUUGUGCAAUCAUUUGACACCAUAUUUUAAUUUUAAUUGAGACGCUUUUUAUAUAUUUUUUAAUUAUAUUAUAUAUUAACUAGCAUAAGUUAAUAUCCAUUUUGAUCAUCAAGACUAUUUAAUUUGACGAUACAAUCGAUUAGAGGAUACGAUCUUUUUAAGAAUAUAGACUAAUUAUUUUAAGAAAGUAAUUGAUUGGAAGAUACCAUCAUCUCAAAGGAUAUGAUCAAUUUGAAGACUAAAUAAGGUUGAGAACAUUCCAAAGGUAUCGACGCAGUCGUCUUAGUAUCAAAUGAGAUGAUUAACUUGAAGACACGAUCGACUUAAAAAGGAUAAUCAUUAUCGAUACGAGCGAGUAGGGUGUGAGGCUAUCAAUUGGUUUCAUCCCAACAGCCCCUACUGAAAAAAUUCGUAGGGUGUGAGACUAUCAGUAGGGUGUGAGGCUAUCACAUGAAAAAAUUCUUUACAUGGAAGAUAAUAACAGUUGAAAACAUACAAAAAGUAAAAUUGGAUACGGGUGUCGAAACACACUAAUCUAAUUUAGGUAUGAUAUCAUUAGAUUCACUUAACCUUAAUCGAGGAUAUAAAUCCUUAUUUUAAUUUUUUUUUAUGAGACAUUAGAUUCACUUGAGGAAGACCAAAAAUUCUUAGGAAAAGACGAUUGAAUAUUGGAAGUCUCAUCUAAUAAUUCUUUUAUAAUUAAAAUAACGUAGUUGAUGACAUAAUCCUAUCCUAUAAUUAAACACAAUAACGAUUAAACAAGUUCAUAAUCUCAAUCGAUUCCGGAAUCAACGUCCAAAUAGAGGCCUAAAGUCAAUGCAAUUGACCUCUAGAACUAUUAAGGCACACCCUGAUCAAAUUCUAAUCAAGAAAGCUAACAUUUGCUAUUUAAUUAUCUAUAUUUUCUCUCAUCAAUUUUGGGUGAUAAGUUUUGUAGCAUCUCUCUCGCUCGAGUGUGGUCGUUCUGAUGCAUUCUCGGGAAUGUAUAUAAAAGGAACCUUCGUUUUCCAUAGGAGACGAAUGAGAGAACCUCUCAACUACAAGUCUACAAAUCCAUUGAAUCCGUCGUAGGAGGCAUCAAUAUAAUUUUUAGUCUUUAAACUUGUUUAAUAUGGCGUUCUUCUAAAUUGCUAUUUAUUAUUAAGGUUGUUGAUCGCUUUUGCCAUUAGUCACAUGAAUGAUCGAGAUUGAUAGAACUUUUUGAUCUAAUCCCAAAAGCACUCAACAUUCUAGAGGUCUAAUGUAGUCGAAAGAGAGGUUCAUGCGACCGUUGGGUAGUCGAGGAAAGUGAUUGAUCUAUAUGAAGAUCUAGGUUAAGUGAAUUUUUUGAUAUGAUCCCUUCAAUGCUCAAAUAAGUAAAAGAACAACAAAAUUGAAGAAUUUUUAGUAAAAAAAUAAUUGACCUCGAUUUCAUUAACUCGAUGACGUUUUAUAUUUGAUUUACUCAAGAAGAAUAACUAUCGUGAGGUAGGGUCCAAGUAUUCCGUUAAACUUUAAUUUCAAUAUUUUCUUAAUUUUUUAUUUUGGAUUGAUGUCUAUGGGAUCCAAUUAUUAAUCGAGACCAUGUAUCGAGUCGUGAUGGAGCAAAUAUAGAUCGAUUGAUCGGUAAUUCUAUAAAUUUGAGUUACGACAUUAUAUCUUUCAAUUAAAUUUGUUAUCCAACAUAAUAUGUAAGUCAACUUUUAUUUAUUUUUAUUUGGAAAAAAACAAUAUAGCUUAUUAUUGCCUAUUUUUCGUUGGCGUCGACUUAUCCUUUUAUUGCUUUUCCAAUAAAUUAUAAUUUUAAUACAUAUUGGUAUAAUAAUUAUAUUAUUUUUAUUCAUAUUUUUUAUAAAGGGUAAAAGCGGUCAACAUAUUAUUUUAAUCCCAAAAAGAAAACUCACUAUAGGUAGUCAAAAUCUAUAUUGGAUAAAUUAAGUUAAGCGCAUUCUUAUCCUCCUUCAAAUAAACUGAUUUAUUUGAAUUAUCGAGAAAAAUUGAUUUAAGCUUCCUCGCCGUUCUCCCUAUACAAAAGCCACCAUCCAUCAUCUCGGUCAUGGCGACUCUUUCCUCCGGUGAGGUCAAGAAGCAGAGCUUCCUCAAAUCAAAAAUCUGGGCCGCAAGAAUACUCCUCACCAAUGUCACUCAUGCAGAACUGUAAGUGUCUCUUUGGUUCCAACAGCGUCGGUAUAGAUAGAUCAUUGCUUCCCGAGCCGAUAAUUCCACGCGGUCAUGCAGGCUGGCCAAAGAAGCAACGAGAAGCAAGCCAUGGCCGCCGCAGGACACGGGGACGCUGCAUGACAUUUCAGAAGCUACUUUCGACAUCGAUGAUUUCUUCAGAGUCGUGGACGUUCUGCACGACAGGUUCGCCUUCGCCUCGUCCUCUUAUCUUGUUCCGCCUGAGGAGCUCUCAAAAGUUGUAGCGUGGACAACAGGUUCGAGAAAUUUAAUGAGAAGCAAUGGAAGAAAGGCUACAAGGCUCUGAUACUGCUGGAAUACCUUCUGACGCAUGGGCCACUGAGCUUUGCAGAUGAGUUGGAGAGCGAUAAGGAAGUGAUACAGAAGAUGUGCAGCUUCCAUUGCUAUGAUGAAAUGGGGUGAGCACGCCGAACUAUAAGAUUCUGAUGGUGUUAUGUAUCGUGUACUGUGUUGCCAUGUUUAGCUCUGCUCAUGGUGGGUUGUGUUGUGCAGGCAUAAUUGGGGGUCGAUGAUGAAGAAGAAAUCAGAGAGGGUGCUGCAGCUGAUGGAGAAGGGACCAUUCCAGAAAGAAGAGCGCGACCGGCUCCGACAGACUACUCGGAGGAUUCAAGGCUUUGGUAACUCCAGUUCCGAUUGUCCACUCCCCGGCAGGGCUGAAGAGGCCUCAGAAGUGAAGCACCCAAAAGAGGAUUAGGAAUGGUUGCUUUGAGUGAGAGUACAUGCGACAGUGGCAAGAAAGUUCUGCGCCCCAACUCCUUCCCAGCAUUUGGGAGUGUGAGAUUUAGCCUUUGUUUAGAAACCAACUCAAUGAAGUCGGUGAUUUAAAACCAAAAUAAAUACAUGAAUUAUUGUUGUUGUAAGAUUAUCGAGAGAGUAGAAUAAUUUAAAUUUUAAAAAAAUUAUUAUUAUGUCUCUUUUUUCGCUCGUCUAUCUUUCUUACUCUUUAUUAAUAUUGUAUUUUUAUCUAAUAUUUAGGAGUAAUUAUUUUUCAGUUUUUAAAUUUAAGUGAAGUCAGCAUCAAGGGAUUGCUGAUGAGGAGGGAACAUAUAUGAUCAAAGACAAAAAAUCCACUAAAAUUAUGAAUCUUCACUCAGCACAUAGGCACUUCCAAGCUGCUUUGUAUUGAUAGGAAUCAGUGACAACAAGCUCUGCUAACAGUAGGGCAAGAAUAGGAGAUCACUCAGUAGAAAGAAGAGGGUGUGAUAAAAGACAAAAAGUGUGAUAGAACUCUGUCACACAACUCUAAUAGCAUAUGACAAUUUUCAUUUACCAGUUGAAUCAACUUGAUUCAGAUUGUUCGCCUUUACAUUCCCAAAAUAUGGCCUAUACAUGAUUACAGAGUCUCCACCAAAGCUUAACCAGAAUGGCACAAAGUCUUACUUCGAAAAAACAGAGAAGCUCUUUGCGUCUCUGUGGUCCUCUAUAACUUUUUUUCGUUGUCUGUACCUCUAUUUACAGACAAGAUCUCCAUAUUUGUCCUUCCAAAGAUAUGACGAUGAUGGAAACAUCAUCAUGAUACUGUCGUCGGUCACCUUGUGGAAUUUCGAGCAAUUCGUGGAAGUCCAUACCUGCAAUAGAAGCACAGAAACCUUGAUCGGUCGAUACAGCAACUUCCACAUUAAAACCCAUUGUUGUUUGUAUUAUUUUGAAAAUCCUUUACCUGCUUUCUUCGCAGCACGAAAAAUGACUUCUUCAACAAGGUGUUGAGCAGGAUCUCCUUCAGGUGUUGUUUCGAUAAACAUUUCAAUCUGAGCAACUGCUUCUUCGUUAGUGAAAUACUGAUAGAGUCCAUCAGAUGAUAGUAUCAAAAAUUUGUCCUUGGGACCAAGCUUAUGAUGGUAGAGGAACGGAUUGCACGUGAGGUACGGAGAGGUUCCAAUGUAAUCAAUUCUGAACAUCUCCAGCAAUGCGUUGUUCCAUUUGGGCUGCAGAAAGUAAUGAGGAUCUUAACAUAGUCGUCCCAGUUCAUAGUCACAGAAUUAGCAAGCAAAAUUAGUAUGUACUCACUGGAUGAAAAAUAAAAGACUGAUAUUAUCUUAGAAGAUUUCAGUGUGAUCUACUAAAGAGUGCCAAUGUCAUGACAUAAUCUGUUGAUCAAUUGAUUGAUUAAAGAGAAGUUCAUCUUAUACUAGUCCGGAAGGCCAGAAUAUGUUUUUCUCUUUUUGUUCAUUCCAAACCAGCAUGUCUACUAAAUUGAUGAAUCUCUAUAUUUUGACACAAUCUGUGGUUUCAUAACGAAUCUCCUAAAAUUUGUCAGAAGGUGAAUUUUUGAUCAGCUACUCAGUAAGCCAAUUAAGUUAACCUGUUCAUUUCAGAAGGCGCUAAUCCGAACUUACAUUCUAAUGAUAUCAGCUAGCAUAUAAACAUUCACAAGGCAAUCAUUCUGAUACCUAAUUGUAUCAUAUGCUUAAAUACAUUCUUGUCAACUCUUUCUCCAGAUUAGGCCCACACUAAUGGAUUCUUAUCAUUAAGCUUAAGCUACUUUGGAUCCAAGUGCUGUACCAAAGAUCCACCUCUUGCCUAAAUCAGCUUCCGUCAGAUUUAUUUGAUUGAUUUAGGUCUUUGGAGACAAAUCGGAUGGCUCAAAUUGCCGAUGGCAACAACUGAGAAGAAAAAAAAAACUACAUGUUUUGGUUCAUGUAGUUGAGAAAAAAAUCGGAUGGCUCAUGUAAUUUUUGGAUCGGAUGGCUCAUGUAAUUUUUGGAGCACAAGCUGGCCUUUGGAACUUGAUGUUUUGGUUCAUGGUGAUGUGAAUGGUUGUGUGCUUUUCAGUUAUAUUUAGUAAAGUUUAGUUUUUGCUUUUGGAAAAAAAAACAAUUGAGAAGAAAAAUCAUGUUCUCUCUUCCACAAGUAAUCAUUUAAACCUAUUUACAUUUCUUGUAUUAAUUAUGAAUACCAACAAAAUUGACUUGCAUAAAAAGCUAUCAUGUUCUCUGCCAAGACGAGAACAAGAUGAUAAAAUCUCAACAUCAGCAGCUUCAAGUGGCACAAUGCCCAUUAAUUGACAUUGACCAAGAGAUAGAUAGCUUUCAAAAUCACUUUUUCUAGGGAUGAAACCUUAUCUUCUGUUACUAAACCAUAUUUCUGUCCCAAGGUGAGUAACACAUGAAAUCAUCUCAAAGUCAGCAACUCCAAGUGGCACAAGGCAUUUCUAUGCAUGGACCUACAAAAGGAUUUCGAUCUCACAUUCUUAGCAAUGAUAUCAUUGCGAAAUCCAUAUUAUUAUUAAUGAUAUAACCACAUAUCAAGUAUCAGCAAGCAUGAUUCUCUACUGUAUAAAUACCCGAUGGUUGAUCUUAGAGAUGCCAUAAUAAAUGCCAGUUCAAGUGCCACCAGAACUACAAGCUCACACGAUAAAGCAUUAAGUGUAUUAAGAUGACAACAAUCAAACCUGCUUCAAGAAGCCAGCACCAAAAGCUCUUGUGACCUUCAAUGAUCCUUUCACACGAUUGUUUGAAAUGGCCAACGAAUCAUCAGGGUGUUCGCUUUUUAUUCUACAAACUUCCUGGAAUUCAUAAGCAAUUUAGUUCUAAAGUUUACAUAUAAAUUUCUCCAAGAAUAGAAAAGGAAAUGUAUGAAUACCAAAUCAAAUUACUACCUCUUCAACAGAAGUGCUAUGAUCCAAAGUCAGCUGUGUGGCCUCUAAAUUUGGGAAGCAUUUUAAUCCAUCGAAAACUUCAAUAUCACUCACAAUCUCUUCAUUGAUUUUGUGAAGAUCCAGCUUCGGCUUCCUGAUUGAACUCCAAGAAUCUGACUCUGCCUUCUGUGCUAAAAUCGCACGGCUAUCCCCGACGUUCAUUAAAUACACAUCAUCCCCCUUCAACAGCAUCACUAAAACACACGAUCCCAUCAGUGCAAGCUCAGGGUUCUCAGAUAUCAUCUUAUCUGCAAUAUCUAAAUAAUUUUCCUCGGUCUUCCUCAGAGCUUGAGAGAGAGCCUUCAGUACUUGAGAGUGAUUGACUUCACCGGAUGAGCACAACUGGCUCGAUUGCUCCUUAAACACACAGUCAACAUCCAAUCUUUCACCCUCCCGCUCGCAAUUUGAUCUCUCCUGCAACUUCUUCCUUUUAGUAGAGCUCUGCUUGUCUUCUUCGCAGCAUCCAAAUUCCUCGAUGUACACACGGGCAAGCGGAUCAUGGAUAGGCCCGGAAAGGGAAUCUUCUUUAUCAUGCCAGAGAAGUCCCUUGAGUUCUUGGUGCACGGCGAAGUACAGAUUUGAGAGGAGGUAAUCAGUGGCAUCAGGGCCAUUGAAGCCGUCGUAGAUGCCUACGAAGACCCAACCGUGCUCCUCCGAGACGACGACAUGGAUUCGAUCCUCCCCUGCUUUCCCUUGCGCCCAUUGAAGAGUGCCGUUCCGGGAGUCAGACGAAUCCGACCACUUCCCACCCUCCACGCUGUUCCUGCCGCUGCUGUUACUGAGAUUUCUGGAACUCGAGUCGGCCAAGUCGGGAACUUUCGGUACCUUGGUGGAUCCGCGCCCCGGGGCGGUGGCGUAGAUGGUGCGGGUAAUGGCUUUGGUGAGGCCGCGGAGGAGUGAGGCGGCAGCGGCGGCACGACGGGGCGUGGGGAGGCCAUGGGACAGGCUACGGAGCAGCUGGCCGGUAAGGGAAGGGGGCUUCUCGAGGGGGCCAGAGAACAGGGCGGCGCGGUGGUCGAGCGGCCCGGACAUGAACCCGCGCUCGAUAGGGCCCGACAUGAACCCCCGAUCGGCGCCAGCGGCGAUCGGACCGGAAAGGGGCCCGGAGAAGCGGGGGACGGGCUGGAGCGCGACGGAGGAGAAAGAUGUGGAGCUCUCAAACGCCGCCGAUGUGGGGACCGCGCCCUCGCCGGCGCAGUCGACGAGGUGGGGCACGGUGGAGAGCGGCGUGGACGGAUUGGCGCUCACGGAUGCGCCAGAGAUGGCGCGGAACGUGGUCGUCUCCUCCGAGUGGUGGACCUUCGAGGAAGCUACAGCUGCGGCGGCGGCGGCGGCGGCGGAGGACGUGAGACCGCCGCCGCAGGAGUCGGGCCGGACGUAGCAGAAGGAGUGACCGAGACCCUCAUCGUAGAAUUCCGAGGUGACAGCCGCGGCGACGUGGCGGCCGCGGUGGCGCGGGAAUCCGCCGCAGCAGAAGCAGCGGGUCAACCUCGCGUACCCGUUCCCCAUCACAAGAGAGAUAAAGAAGAGAAUUCGAGCCGGAGGAAGAAGAAGAAGAAGAAGAAGAAGAAGAGGUAAAGGGAGAGGGCNNNNNNNNNNNNNNNNNNNNNNNNNNNNNNNNNNNNNNNNNNNNNNNNNNNNNNNNNNNNNNNNNNNNNNNNNNNNNNNNNNNNNNNNNNNNNNNNNNNNNNNNNNNNNNNNNNNNNNNNNNNNNNNNNNNNNNNNNNNNNNNNNNNNNNNNNNNNNNNNNNNNNNNNNNNNNNNNNNNNNNNNNNNNNNNNNNNNNNNNNNNNNNNNNNNNNNNNNNNNNNNNNNNNNNNNNNNNNNNNNNNNNNNNNNNNNNNNNNNNNNNNNNNNNNNNNNNNNNNNNNNNNNNNNNNNNNNNNNNNNNNNNNNNNNNNNNNNNNNNNNNNNNNNNNNNNNNNNNNNNNNNNNNNNNNNNNNNNNNNNNNNNNNNNNNNNNNNNNNNNNNNNNNNNNNNNNNNNNNNNNNNNNNNNNNNNNNNNNNNNNNNNNNNNNNNNNNNNNNNNNNNNNNNNNNNNNNNNNNNNNNNNNNNNNNNNNNNNNNNNNNNNNNNNNNNNNNNNNNNNNNNNNNNNNNNNNNNNNNNNNNNNNNNNNNNNNNNNNNNNNNNNNNNNNNNNNNNNNNNNNNNNNNNNNNNNNNNNNNNNNNNNNNNNNNNNNNNNNNNNNNNNNNNNNNNNNNNNNNNNNNNNNNNNNNNNNNNNNNNNNNNNNNNNNNNNNNNNNNNNNNNNNNNNNNNNNNNNNNNNNNNNNNNNNNNNNNNNNNNNNNNNNNNNNNNNNNNNNNNNNNNNNNNNNNNNNNNNNNNNNNNNNNNNNNNNNNNNNNNNNNNNNNNNNNNNNNNNNNNNNNNNNNNNNNNNNNNNNNNNNNNNNNNNNNNNNNNNNNNNNNNNNNNNNNNNNNNNNNNNGGGGGAGAGAAGAGAGGCUUGAAGAGAGAGAGAGAGAGACAGAGAGAGAGACAGAGAGUUGACUUGUGGGCGAGAGGGGCCUUUGAAAUGUGCGGGGAAAAAAAUCGUGGAGGAGUUGACUUCAGGUGUUGUUUCCCAGAGCCGAAGUUUCCGGUUACGGAAUAAAUAUGGACGAGACGGGGUAGUAAAAAGAGGCGUAGAGGGCAAGUCAAACGACCGACGCGUGGCGGUCGCCGGUGUCAGGGACACCGGUCGCAUUCAUUUCUCCCGUGCCAAGCUGCACACCCCCACCACGGUCCACGGCCUAUAGCCAACCAAAAACCGACACGUACUGGGCAUCGAUUUCAGGGUUGACGUCGCCGUCCAGUAGAUCUUACGAGCGAGGGCUUUUCACCCCUGAAGCUUUUGGCGGUUCGUCUCUCCCUGUUUUACAUGGUGGAAGACGAAGUGACAUUUACCAGGGAGACAUAUGAAUGAGAGGAAGUGAUGGCCUCAAGGAUCCUAUGUUUUCUGAUGGAGCUUUCAAUGUGGAAUUCAAGAUUCCGUGCGGGUUGUAGCUGAAGGGAUGGAGGAUGGGGGUGCAGUUUGCCGGUGUAAGAGCAUAAAUGAUGCACCAGGGUGUGGUGGCAUGGAAUCAGUGACAGCCAUCACACCUGCGCUUCCUCUUUAACCCUUUCUUUGUGUGAGAAAGAAGGCCAUAUGGUUGUGGGUGGAGGAUGGCUGCUUUUGACCACUGCGACGAGAGGCGAAAGAUGAUGAGACGGAGCCAUAGCUUUAAAUGUUUUAUUCUACCUUAUCCUACAGCAUCCGAUAAAUAGGCUUUGCAAGCAUUCUUCAUUCCUAUUUACCUCUUUAAAAUUGUAAAAGGUUGUCAGUGCAUGACACACGAGGUUCUGAUCAAAAUGAGAUAUGGAAGGAUCGAUCUAUUUAGUCUUUUGAAUUCAAUUUAUUAUGAGAAAGAAUUCACAACAAUGGAUGCUUAGUAUAUGGGUUUUGAAAGAUGUUUGGUAGACAUCUUUUGAACUUUAGAGUGAUUAGGAUAGGAUAUUUUUCACACAAGAGAAGGAGUAUCUUAAGAUUUUACUGGAAUAUGAUUGAAAAUUUUAUUCUGGACUGAGAUAUCAAGUGUGUUACAGUUAAGUGCAUCACUAAUGAAGUGGAUACACCUUUUUAGUGUUGAGAGUUGGAAGUGGAAUGGAUGGUCUGACUGACUGCUGAUUGCAAUUUGUAGAACCUCUUUGAUGUUUGUUUAUGUGCUUAAUGACUCUUUCCACCAUAAAUAAAAUUUUUUUUGUUAUUACUUCAAAUAUUCACUUAUACACUUCCUCUAUUGCAUUAUGCAUGUCACAGAUAGAUAAACUAUUCUGAGUCUGUAAUGCAAACAAAGUUUUUGUAAAUAGACUUGAGUGGGAAAAAAUGCCUUAAAUGAAAGGAUUAAAAAUAUUGUUUUGAAAAAAAAAGAUCUUUUUUUUCUUUUUAUAAUUGUCGAUGAAUUGAACAAUUUUUCUUUUUAUAAUUCAUGAAAGUAGAUCUUUUUUUUCUUUUUAGAUGCUUGAGUCUAUCUAAUUUAGUUGAGAUACAGAUUUGGAUUCAAGUGCUUGACUUCAAAUAAAAUUAAUGGCUAUGCAGCCUAAUUUCAUCCCUAUCUGGCAGCCAUUUUCUCCUUGUCUGAACUUGUUUACAUAGUCAUUACACAUGUUUGAAUAUUCUGCAAUUCACGUUGAAAACAUCCAGAAAAUGUGACUUUUUUUUGUCUUCAAGUGAGCGAAUGUCUGAUGGUUUACACCACAGAAAACACAACUCCUCAAAAUAAUUCAGGAAAGACAAAUACUUGCUUAAAGACAAAUCAAAGGAGCAGACUCAAAAAGACUCUUCAAAGGACGGUCUUUGCAUGUAGCUUCAGUAUUAGUCUUGCAGGAUGAGGUCCUGAGUGCCUUAUCCAUUUCUUGCUUUGGAGAGAGAGAGAGAGAGAGAAAUGUCUUUAUCCAUGCAAGUCAAAGAUGUAAACUUCUGGGUGGCAGGAAUCAUCAGAUUCAGCCAACACAGCAAGUUGAAGUUUGAAAGCUUCUUCCCUUGGUCGUUGCUCAUUUUUUUUAACUGAUGGAUUUCCUUGUUCUUUCGCUACUUCAUUACCUCUGCAAUUUUAGAAACACAUAGUAUCUUUUGAGAUUAGAAACCUUCUUUACCCGAUGAACAGAUAUUUAUAUGAAGUGUUAACAAAGGAUAGUUGAUUUCGUAACGUAGCUGAUUUCGUCUAGUCGUAUAAUAUCCUUGCGUGUUUGUUCAUAAAGAAUCAACCUCAUUGAAAUAUCUUAUGGUUCCUUAAGGAUCUGCAAAAAAGAAGAUAGAUUAGAGGAAACGUUUAACUCAGAAUCCUACAAGUCACUAUUUUAGUAAACAUAAAAUUUAAUAUGAUUUAUCAUGAUAAAAGUCUUCAUAAAUAUUCACAUGAUUGUAAAAUAAAACAAUGAAAUAGCCCUCGAUUGUCUCAAAUAUCCAUCCAACGUACUGCCCAUAUAGCUCCAAGGUGAUAUACUAAUUGAUAGUUUGUAUCAUUUUACGAAACUAAAAGACUCCCAAAAUAAUUUAAUUUUGAAUAAUUUUAUCUAUAUUUAUAUUUAUAGAACUAAAAUAAACACACGAGUUAAUUAAAAUGAAGCUAUCAAAUAUACUACAAGCCCUUUACAUACUAUACAAAAUAUAAAUAAAACUAAAAGAUAUAAAUAUUAUAUCAAAUACCAUUAUACAGAUUUAUCCCUAAUAAUAAAUAUCAAAGGCAAAAUGGGAUGGGAUAGUACUAAGCCAUACACUGUGCCACCAUACAUGUUACAAGGAUAUCAAAAAUCUAACUCUUAGAUCGGGGUCAACCAGAUCAUGGUUGCCACUUGGUCACAUGCAUUGCAAUAGCAGAGCUGCUCUACAAUGAAUUGCCAUUCAGUAUAUAGAAAUAAGAGUUUGCGAGACUGACAAAUGUCUCUCCGAGAAUAGACGCUGAAAUGAGCUUCCAAAGACCUCAAAUGGAACAACAAAAAGACAAGUCACAGACACAUUGGUUGCUAACGCACAUUGGAGGGCUUCAAAUCCGCCAUCAUUCGUGAGUCAAGUGGAAUGAGUUCAUGAACCACUAUCCCCACAAUUUAUUGUCUUCACCUUCCCCCUUUGCACUCCACAAUGAGUUAGCUAAUCUUGGCAAACCAUUGGUGCCUUUGAACGAUUCAGUCCGGUAGACAUGUUAGGUCUAUAGCCAUUCAUAAUUUGCGUGAAACGAAGGCCGAUGACAUCAAGUUACAGUCUCCCUUCCUGUACUCAGUCAGCACCAGCCAUUGUCACUCCCAGUUUCUUCUUCCCAGGAAUGUCUUGCUUCUCCAGACACCUUUUGGAAGAAGGUGUGAAGAAGCUGCGAAAUCCAACGAAACCAAUAUCCAAGUCGACACCUUUCUUCCUUCCCUUCAUUCCUUGUGUCCCCACCGUCUUCCCCUGAUGCAAGUCAACCGGUGUUUGAUAUCGAGCUGUCGGCAUUGCUGCAUGCCAAGUGGCCAACAUGACGAGUAUGCUACAAAUCUCUGAAGGGAUAGUCAAUCUCAUUAGGGUGACACAAACCGAAUAGCAAGCCAAUAUAAACAGCCUUCUUCUCCAUUGUAAGUCACUCUUUCAUGAGGAGGUUGAUUCAGGUUAAGUAGGCAAUGCAAGUGAGUUGGGGUAUCCUAUCAAGUAGGUAUGUUUCACAUCGACCAAGGUGAGAUCAGCUCGGAGGCAUACGUCCCUUCAAACAAAAUAGGUCAAAAGUUCAAUCACCAGUGAGCACAAUAGACUAAAUAUUAAUGUGGCAUGUAAAGUUGCUUGUGGGCUUGAUGAUUACUAAUGUGUUACAUGAAUGAGCUUCAAAAUGUAUGAUUACUACGACUCUCUCGAAGCCGCAACUUUAAUUGAUUGCUUAACCACGAUGAGGUCCCUCUUUACCAACUUGACAAGAUAGAAGAUUAGCUUUUGUGCUAAUCUUCUUGAAAUAUACAUCCUGUUUAUGCAGAAACUAUUCGAUCGAUGCUAUAUUCACAUAUAUUUUUUCCCAUUUAUCUCCUUGGAGAGUUUGUCGUUGCUUCUCUUCCAUUUCUACUCUAAUUAGAUUUAUCUACUCUACUGCCAAUCAAACAAAUUUAACUGAGACUAUCAGUGGGAAAAGAAGAGAGGAAACUGAAACAAGAAGGAUUAACAAUGCAUGUCUAAUGAAUUAGAACCAGUUGAACUCCACAUCAAUGCCACAAACAGAGGUCAGGAGGAGUGAAGAACAGUAUCGAAAGGAAAAAAAAAAUUAGAUGCAGCUCUUCCAAUGGCCACCUUCAGUUCAGUGGGCUUCUGGCAAGCCAUGUGGUUGGCCACUGAGUAAGCACACAAGACAUCAGGUGGCUUGAUCCAUGAUUCUGUGUCCACCACCUCAUUUUAUCUCCUCUUUAUGCUGCAACAGUCCAGUCGUGGGAACAGAGGACGAGGAGGAGGAGAAGGAGAAGGUGGUCGUGCGGAAGAAGAGUGGUGGGUUGUGAUGGAUGGGGGAGCAUCUAUCUAUGGCUGCCUAUAAUUGCAUUUGACCAUCUCUGCAUCUCUGUCCCUCGACAAGGUCGUGAGGGGUUCUUUGCCCACUGCCUUGAGGGAUGUGGUGGUUUCCAGUUGUCACUUGGAAGUGUGGUCUUAUGCUAGAGAGGACAGGCAUAUACAGCCUUAAGAUACUGUUGCCUGCGUUUGCAUCAUCGACUCAUCUCAGUCUUUGUUUUGCAAGCUCUCCAAAGGAGAGACAGUUUUAGUACCGAUUUAAUGCAGCAGCCAAAGAGUCGGGUGGCUUCCUGAUUCAAGGACAAAUGACAUGAGAUGCAGCUACUCAUACAGUGAACCAAAGAAUCAUUUACCUCUACGAUAUUUUUUUUGUAGAUUUAUUCGAAAAAAUGGCACUAAUUUAAAGUCCUUUUUUGGGUUUAAAUUCCAAUGAACAUAUAUAUAUAUACCUCUGUUACCACCUGCCAGAGUUCUUAGAGAUCCUUUUUGGAUUGCUCACUCCCAACUUGUAUAACAAAUGUUUUGGAGUAUAGUUGUAUCAAUGCCUCGGUGCACUUCCACGUUCUCUCCCAGGAAAAACACAUUGUUCUUCUGCUUUGAAAACUUUGUACAUCGGUUGAACACCAAGAAGCGUCGUUCAGACGCAAGAUGCUAAACAAUUGAACACAGGAACAGACAUCCGUUCUGUCGUUUCUGUGAAUGGUGAAGGAAAGAGAUCGAGAUGAUUCAAGUAGAACAGUAGAACUAGUACCAAAACCUUGCCUGCUGCUAACUCAUCCACCAGUACCAAAAGAAACCAAGAAUUGAACUCCACCAUGCAAGCUUAUGGCCGAUUCCUUGCCAUCCUUGCAAUCGGUCCUGAAGCCAAUGAUCUCCAGUAUAACCUCCCCACAGAGUUAUUCUUUAGGGUGAGCAUAUCCUUGAUUUCGAAGACCCUGCUCCUGGAACUUUUAUCUCUUGACAGCUUUUUCGUGUCAGCAGCAUCCUCCCCCGGAGAGAUUGAUGUACUGGUGAUGGUUUCUGUAGUCUCACUGUUAGACGUCUUAAUGAUCUGAUCAAGCAUCUCGACCACCUCGCUCAUUCUAGGACGUGACUUUGGUUGCUUCUUUAGGCAUCUGUUUGCCAAAGCCACUAGAUUCUGAGCAGAUUCUAAGCAAUACUUCCCUUCGAGUCGUGAAUCCAUAAUAGUGUGGAGCUUUUUGGGGUCCGUUGCAAAAGGUUUUACCCACUCCAAGAGCUUUUGUUCACUUCUUGGUAGGUUCCUAUCUAAGGACCGCCUUCCUGUUACAAGUUCAUAAAGAACCACACCGAAACUCCAUACAUCGCUUUUAGCAGUUAAUUUUCCGGUGUGGAUGUACUCUGGAGCAGCAUAGCCAACGGUGCCAACUACCUGCCAAGAAAGCAACAGAAAUAGGCUACUUAACAUGGUAUGCAUAAUGGAUAAAUUCUGAAAAUUUGUAGCCUAAAGAAGAAUAUUAAACUUUUAGAUGCUGGCAGCAAUUCACAAACAUAAGAUCUUUUAACAGUUGAAAAAGGAAUGUAAAUAAGCCUUGUCGAUGGCUUGUUAAAAGUUCAUGUGAGCUUCAAAAAAUAAAUACAUAGCAAAUUGACUAAAAUCCACUCCAUAAUAGUUAGGGAUAAUCAAAUGUUCAACAAAUCGAUUUUAUGGAGUUUGCAGUGGAGAUGCAGUCAAAGUUGAGAUAUUAUCCUGUUCGUUCAGUUUCUUCAUUAAAAGUACUUGUUCAGUAAGUGAUACAUAUAGACAAGUAUAGAUAAUGUUCAAGCUUAAGCAACAUUGAAGAUCCGGUCAUGCAUUAUAUGACAAAAGCCAGAUCAUUAUAAUCAAAACUUACUGAUGUCUCAACAUGACCAACUCCUGCUGUUGGGCCAUGCCUAGCAAAACCAAAGUCUGAGAGCUUGGCAUUGAAAUCUUCAUCUAGCAAAAUGUUGGAUGUCUUAAAAUCCCGAAAUAUUAACUGCAUCAAAAGAAUAUAAAAUGAGUACAUAAAAUGGAAAGUGAAAAGAACAAAAUUUUCAAACAUCUACCAAGUAACUUGCAGCACACGUAUACACACAAAGAUAGAGAAGCUGUUACUCUAUUCUAUGGUAAAAACAUGUACAUAAUGAAAGAUGCCAGAUGCCAAACUAAGGAAGAAAAAGAGGAAUCCCUAGCUAAUAUUAUAUAGUACAAGAAGAGAACUGGAAAUAUCCAUCACACCAUGAUCUCGACUGCUGCUAUGGAAACUUAAAACACAGGAAGCAUUAAUGAUACAGUAUAACAUAAAUUGUGAUAUAGGAAGAACAUCAAAGAUUUACUUAGAAACUCAGUUUCACAUGAGACCGGUGGCUUUACCAAAUAGAAUAGGUAUUCGAGUAUGAUUAGGAUUAGGAUUGAUUGGAAGUCCAGAACACCUUAACCUUCAUAUAUGGGACAUGAAAUUUAAAGUAGAAUUGUCAUAUAAUGAAAGCUGAUAAUUGAUGCACGGGAUCUAAAGCACAGGUGUUUAAGGGUUAUAGUGGAGGUAAUAGUCAAAAUUGCGGUAAAAAUUCAAUUUUGAGGCCUUUAGAAAUUAAAAUCAGCAGGCUAACUCAGGAAUUGCAUUGGCAAGCUGAUGAUAAGGGUAAAACUUGUCAGAUCUUAUGGGUAUGGAUUCAUACCUAUUUUGUUGAGAUACAAUAGCUUGUUGUCGUAGCUAAAUUGGGGAAUUAUUUGUUUUACUGUUCAGUUCAGUACUGUAGAGAAUUAUUAAAUAAAUUGAAUAUGGCCUUUCAUCACUCAAACACCCAAUGCAGAACCAACAUUCUGUCCAUCUAUACAUGAGGAAUAAAAAGAGAAACCAAGGCCUUAUAGAGUGGUCACAUAAUCGAAUGACCUGUGACGGUUUGAAAUCAAUGACCUUUUAAGGCAUAGUAACCUAUGAAUGAAAUAAAAAGUUGCACAAAUCAUAAAUAUCUAGUAAUAAACAAUUAAAUGGUCAUCUAGCUUUCAGAAUAAGUCGGCAUCUAAAUUCAGGAAUGUGAAGAAUUAAGCAAGCAUCUGAAUAUUAGGUAAUCCAUUUGCUAGGAAUAAAGCAAUAUGCCACCUGUGCCAAUAUUAUGAGACCUUUUUUUUAUAAAGAUCAUGCUGCUAAGUACAAAUACAUGCUAUAGCCUACUGCAUGUGCCACUACACAUUCAAUAUUCAAUGGCAUUUGCCUACCUUGUUUCUAUAUAUGCCUUGGUACCAUUGGCAAGGAAUGAAACAACUCCAAUAUCUUGCCACUAGCUGAGUGAGAGGCAAAGGUAACAACACUAUAUAAUCUUUGUUUUUAACAUGAUAAUGAACGACAACCUUCCGUUCUUGAUAAUUUCUUCUGCAAAUUAAGCCUGUUGGACCAAGUAACAAGUCACAACAAGCCGCAAAUAAGAGCUCAUCUACACAACCACAGUAGGCUUAAAAAAAAAAGGCUAGUGGUUUAAAAAAGAUGAAUAUCAUUCCCUAUUGUUGGGAGCAUCAGAAAAAAUAAUGAAUAAAACCCUAUUAUCAGCUUAAGUUUGUAGAUGACUUGACAGUGAUGAAAACUUAAGAUCAGAGAGGGAGGUACUGAGAGUCUUUAUUCUAUGUAAUUUUCAUCACAAUUUAAUUCAAGUGACACAUGUUAGUCUCAAGCCAUUCCAGCAGCCCACAGUGACCGUGAGUCUUGGAAAGCUAAAAUGUAAAUUAAUAAAACAAUGUGUUAUCCGUUGCCUUAAAAUGUUAGAUGACUUGGCCAUGGUUUGACAUUUCAAGUACCGGAGCUAAAAAAAGAUGUGUUAUCUGCUGGCGUAAAAUUUUAGAUGAUUGAUACAUCGUAUGGCUUCAAAUUUUGCCAGGUCUGCACUGGUCAAGCUGGAUCAGUACAGAUCUGAUACACGCCAGUGUGCCAACACAGUCAAUACAUAAUCUGAAACAUAUACACAGUGUUGGGAGGCACAUGUCAUGGUCUGUGUUGUUGACCUGACAGUCCAUCGGAUUGACAUGUUCCACCAAGAACACACUGAUUAGAGUGAAACGCAUAACCAUGGACUUGAAAAUAGUGAGACUUUGUGUUUUAUUAGUAAAUCUAAUUUUAUUUAAAAUUCAAUAAAAUUAAUGGAUUAUUUAAAUUAGAAAAAGAAGAAAGUGUUAAAACCAGGAAAACCGUGAAGCCAAACAUUUCUAUACGACAACAACAAAACCGUAAGUCCCAACUAUUUGGGCAAAACAGUAAUUUCUCUGUAGAUUAAUUAAGAAUAUAAAAUGUUGAUUUCAAGACUUAUCACUACCUAAUUCCUCAUGAACAUGUAACAAGUUUCUUCUUGAACAUCUGAAUCAUGAAGCAAAUCACUAUAUUCUCCACAGACUGAUUAAGAAUAUAUAGUGUUGGUUUCAAAACUUAUCAUGAUUUUGUAACAAAUCUCUCCUGAAUAAAUAACUAAAUUUCUUCCUAAAUAUCUGAAUUAUCAUUUCGUGACAUACAAUAUGUUGAGCAGACCAAUUUAAGACUGCUGAGGUAGAUUUCUAGUUAAAAAAUAUAGAAACAAUGUUAAAAUAAUGGAAAGUGACUCAAAAUAUGAAUGUUAAAAUAAUGGGAUCAUGUUGCUGCUCACCGCAGGCUAGAUGCAGCCACUAAAUUGUUAUUUGAUGGAACAAUUAGAAGUAUGAAGGUUGAACAAUUUAUGAAGGAUACACUGGAAUCAUUUGUGAUCAAAGCCCAUGUUUAGAAAACAGAUACUAAUAGUAGGAACAGAAAAAUUGUUCCGUAAAAGAAUUAGAAAAUGCCAUUCUAGUGUAAUUCCUACGGCAUUUGGUUAAUAGUUGAACAAGAUAGCGAUAUCAGCAAAAAAGCAAAAAAUAAAUAUUGCAGUUCUAAAAAAUCCAAUUGUAGGAGAGAUAAAAACAGGAAAUAACUGAAGGAAAAGGCUGUUCCAGCCAUUUGCAUGGAUUGUCAUACUCCUCAUUACAGUUCCAUGUGGUUGUACCCAUAAGAAUCAUGAAAGUGAAUAGGAUUUGGUUGUUCUUUUGGAGAACACUUAAAAAGUUUCUUGCAUGAUAAGGAGCAUGUGUCUUUUAGGACAUUCUCCCUCCUGCCUGAAUUAAUUGGGUUUUUUUAUAUAAUUAUUUUAAAAAUAUUUUACAUUCCUCACUAGUGCUUUACGAAACCUUUUCAAAACAAUAAUUCCAACACAAAAGACAAGAUAUAUUUUUUUUCUGGUGUAUGAUAUUAUAAAACAUUAAUAUGAGCUGAAGCACUGAACAACCUCGACAAGUUCCCUUAGCCAACCAACUGCUGGUGACUUUGCUAAGAUCAUUCAAUAUAUAUGGGACCUUAUCCUUAUGUAGCUUGACACACUUUCUCCAGGUGAGAUUCGAUGCAAAUUAGUUGUUCAUACAUCUCCCUUGGUGAAUUUGCAUGUGUACAAAUCAGUCAUUUGGGUCUUUUUCUUUGUUUUACAAAAAUAUUGAGAUAAGUUGGAAAGAAAUAAAGACAAAUGAAGUCUAGAUAAUUUAUCAUCCUUGAUCUUUUGAACUGUACCAACUUUUAAAUCUAAAUCAUCUUAAUAUCAGCAUGUAUACAUGUUGUUAAUAUCAUUAUGAAAGCUUCCAAUAGUUUAGGUAUUUAUCAAAGGAUAUAAGUAUGUCAAAGAAGUAGAAGCCACACCAAUACUAAAAUCAAGUCGACGUUUUAUUACCUUUAUCAGCUGCUCGAUUAAUUGGUUCAAACUUACAGGAACUAGCUUUGAUAUUUUUAAGUCCAUCAAUCAAAUGAAUUGAUGUUUGUAAGUGACCUUCAACUUCAUGUUAUGGCAUCUAUGAAUGAGUUGCCAACUAUUCAAACUCUAAUCGCAUAUAACCAAGGAGUCCAAUAGAUGACUACCUGAAAAUCCAUUUCUUCGUGGAGGUAUGCUAAACCACGUGCAGCAUCUAGUGCAAUCUUUAACCUUAGAGACCAUGAGAGAGCUGAUGAAACUCGAGAUAAUAAGUGAUCCUCCAAGCUUUUAUUGCGCAUCAAUUCAUAAACAAGAAGCCUUUGAAUCCCCCUCUCAUCAUCUUCAGCACAAUAACCCACCAACUUGACAAGAUUUGGAUGCUUCACUACACCAAGAAAAUUGACUUCAGUAACCCAUUCCUUGUGCCCCUGCAGAAAAAACAAAGUAACUCAAUAAAUUCUCAACCAAAAUUGGGCAAAAUCGUGCAAAUUAUGUUUUUUUCAACAUCAAGUCUAACAAAUCAAAAUAACAAGGGUUUCUGGUACAAUUAGGACAACCACUCAGCUAUAAAUGCAACAAGCAAGCAUCGCUAUUGCAUAAAAUGGUAACAUCCAGGGGUUGCACAUGCCAGCUAUGCCCCCCGAACCCAUGCAGCAUAUACUGUAUCAACAAGGGGACAAAUAUAGCAUUGGACUUGCAUAUGGCUUGUCUUGGUCGGCAUGGCCGCUGUGCCUACCAUUGAAGACUGGGACCUAUAGCUUAGUUAUGCUCGUGACAAUUCGAAACUAAUGUUUCCACAUUGGCAGAUAAGCCAGGAGGAUCAUCAAAGGUUAGUCGCAGUGGAUAGACAAUAGCCAGACCCAAAGGUUGUGACAGAUCAAUCGUGUUCACGGUGUAAUCACAUGAAAAGAACAGGACUUGAAUCUGAAUGCCUUCCACAAAAGACAGGAAAGUACCUAGAAAGAUGGGACAACUUGGAUCGCUCUAGCUCGGUUUAUAAUGCGAAAUCAAGAUCACACCAACGGAAUCAAAAACGUCGAAUCAAAGAUGUUACAUGCAGACAAUUUAAGGGAUAUCGGUACAUGAUCAGGACCUACAUCAUGUUUUCUUCGAACAUAAAAGCAACAUCCGAAUAAGAUUCACAAAGGAGAUCAAUAAAUGCAACUCGCUCCGAGCAUUAAUGCACACCCAACUAUAUCACGAGUCCAUCAGCAGCAACGAAAACGAAGAAACGAGGGAAACUCUUGCCUGCAACCCGUGCCGGUUCAACUGCUUUACAGCGACGUCCAUCGUCUCGGCGGCGCCGUCGUCGCCUGCGACCGUGACGACACCCCUGUAGACGCACCCGAACCCGCCCUCGCCGAUCAGGAGGGAUCGGCCGAACCCCCUGGUGGCGGCCUUCAGCUCCGAGAACGCGAACGCGCGGAGGCCCUCGGGCGGCCCGGCGGUCGCCGGGCAUGGGAGGUCCCAGCCGGGGUCGAGCUCGGCCCGCCGUGGCUCGAGUCCGAGCGAGGAGGAGGUGGACGCGAUGCUGAGGGAGCGUGCCCAGGAGAGGCGGGAGACCCUGGAUCCGGCGUCAUCGAAGGUGCCGCCGGCGUCGCCGCUGGAGAAAUGGAAGCACUUCAUGGCCGGGGAGAAACCCUAGAGCAGGCGAAGGCAUGAAGAGAAGCCACGGAGAGAGAGAGAGAGAGAGAGAGAGAGAAGAGGAGGUGAAGAAGAAGGUCAAUAUAUUAAUGGAAGAAGGUGGGGUGGGGAGCGUCGCGAGAGUGGAGGUUGGGGAGGACCAACUCCCAUCUGAGAGCUCCGUUCCGGGCGCGGGUGGGAACACGACAUAUCAGCACCUGCCGAGGGCUUUUCGGUAAGAAGUGACGGGCAGCGAAGUGAGAUUUGGGGGUUAAUCAAGUCGUCGCACCGCAGAUCUCUCCCAUCAGCAGAAAAGAGCAUUUCAACGAACGGCUUAUCGGCGCAAGAAUCGGGUGGCCCGAGGAUCCUACGUUUGCCACGGGACAGCGCACAGCGCACAGCGCACAGCGCCCCGUCCCAGGAGACGUAUUCGAAGCACCGCCAAUGGUCAACAACUCGUAGCAGCCUUCUCGGUGGCUGGUCAAAGCGAGCGCUCAGCGCCGACGACCACGAAGUCCCCCGUCCCGACCUCCUCAUCGUGCCAAUCUACACAAAUAAUUCCUUUCUAUGUCUGAUUCCAAGUAUGAUUAUUAUGGUCAUGAAUCAGAAGAUGUGCAUAAAUCAGCUUCUUUUGCGUGGCCAGAGGAACAUGGAAUGAUAGAGAGGAGAGAGAGGAGGAUAACGAGAGAUUACUUGUAGCAUGCUAUUUUUAUCUACUUGGAGGACUCGAUGGAUGCCUAUCUCCGUCAACUUUGAUUGUGUCAACGUGAUUUAAGAUUUUGGUGUUCCUUUCACGCAAUUCCUUUUGGUACUUGUGACCAUAAUUUGCCGAAAGCAGUCGCAGGUUGUGUCCUGAGUUGCCUCUCUGGACUACUCACUAAGGAUUUGUCUUCGGGUGGAAACUUAUUCUGCAACCGCUGCUAAUACUUUAUCGUCGGAGACUUGUUCUCGAGAUGGUAAUACUUUCCCAUUUAUCGUUUGUCCGGCUCUCCUGCCUGCCUUCCUUCCAAUUGGAGGUGAUGUGAGACCACUUUGAUAUAUGAAUAAUUUAUAUAAAAAUUUAAACUAUUCAACGUACAUAUUGAUUCGAAACUUAAAACUUAAAACUUAUCAAAGUUCAACUAAGGAUAGAACUUAAAACUUAAAAGAAUUGAAUAUAUAUAUAUAUAUAUAUAUAUAUAUAUAUAUAUAUAUAUAUAAAGAAAGAAAGAAAAGAAGAAAACCUUAUAAGUACUAAAACGUUACUAUCCCAAUUGGUCACCACUUGGCAGAGCCGCAUUAGACUUCCUUGUCUCGAAUGAGUGGUGGUCAACAAUGGGUGCAUAAUCUUUCUUCCUCCCCGGUUUGGUGAGCAAAAUAUUCGUCUCACUAGCUAAAGAAGUCGUAUUGGCCAUGCUUUCAAGGGAAGCAAUAAAUAGUCUGGUUAAGUUUGAUCCAUCGGUUGUAACUUAAAAUAUUAUGAUUUGAUCUGGUCUCCAUGAAUGGGUGCACCAAGUGGCUGGAUCGAAUUCAAUCAAUCACUAUCUCUGAUUCAUCUAUUUAUUAGAAAGCAUUGAUCAUAUGAAUAAUAGGCAAAAUGGCAUACAGCCCAGUAUUAAAUAUUCACUUGUAUCCCUAAAGAACCAAUUCGAAUAGAUUACUGCUUCUUUUAUUGAUAUGUUGAUAUGUAUCUUAUUUCAUUGGCAGCUGCUCUCAGCUCUCUCAUUCUGAAGAAACAUGUUGCAUUGACUUACAGGGGGAAGAACUCAGAGAGGUGGCGGCGAUGUCGACAGUAGCGACGACAGAGGAGGAAAGGCCAUAAGGUGAAGGGUUUCUAAACACUCUCUAUAUGUACAUGAAUAUAUACGUGCACAUAUGUACACACUUAUAAUACAUACAUCCCUGACAGCCAUUUGAAACAUUUUAUUAUUCAGGUCAAAACAUGCUUGUCUGGCAUUACAAUCCAAUCCGAUUUUGUCCAGAUCUAUCGAUUCAAGGUCACAAAUUGGUCAAUGGGAAGGUUUGGCUAUUACAAAAUUGAGUGGCCAAAUCUAUACUGGAUAUUCACCUACACCAUGUUGACUCCAGGAAGGGUUCAACAAGAGGGAAUGGGAUGGACAGUCUUGAAGAAACACCUCAUCAGUUUUCAGUGUAGGGGUACCCUUUUGUCUCCCUGCUUUACACUUUAACAUGGAUUGCUUCAACCAAACUAAUUUACCUAACAACCAAUCAAUAUGACUGGCUGACGAACUGAGAUGUAAUCCUGCUGAGGAAACCAAAGGCAUGAACUGAACAAUGCAGCAUUUUCACACUUGUAAAUUCAUCAUAUCACUGUAUUAGAUAACAAGCAAAGCAGAGACUCCACUGUGAUGGACAAAUAUAAAGAAGUCGCAUCACAGCUAUCAGACAUAACAGAUAUAUGAGCAACUGCGGGCUACAACAAUUUCCUUCGUUGUGCAGCCACUUCAGCCGCCACUGUUACAAACUAUAACUUUGUAUGCUACUCUAUUCCCACUGCUCGGUAAUCCCACACACCACCUCACAGUCAAAUAAGACUCCAAAAAAGAUGCAGUCAAAGUGACACAGACGCAACAAGCACACUCCUACCACUCAGCCGUCGCCAUUACCUUUUACUUUCACGACUACCGAAGCCACUCAGUACUAAUCCACGGCGCGAAAAACACACAAACACUAGUACUACUGCAACUGCUGCUAAAGAAAGAGUAACGAAGCCUUUGGAUUCCAAUGUCAGACGCGGAAGUUCUUGCCCUCGAAGGUCUGGCCGAACUCCCAGGUGGAGGGGACGAUGUUCCAGGAGGUGGAGGUGCGGCGGUCGCUGCCGGUGACGCGGAAGGAGAGGGACUGGCCGACGAGGACGGCGUUGGACUGCCAGUUCUGGCCCCAGUUGCGGGACAUGGGCAUCCACUCGGUGCGGGACCCUUUCACGCUGGCGCGGACGAGGUCGCCGGCGCCCGCCACGUUGGUGAUCAGCACCAGGUUGAAGUACUGGAACCCGUUGAUCGUGAAGCGGAUCCCACCGGAUUUCCUGCAAGGGACCCUGCGAUCGGACGGCCGCAAACAAAUCAGCAAGCACGUCGGUUCAAAUCGAUACGGUGCAUCACACCACGCUAGCCCCAAUAGGGCUGGACCCCACGCGGUUUCCUUUUGUUUGUUUCCGGCCCUACAGGGAGGCAUAGGAUACCGCGACAACGGAAAUUACGUUCUUUCUUUGGGUUUUUGCCUUUUUAGCUUUGUGUUCUGUGAGUCACACAUAAAGUGGGGAAUCCGGUCAAAUAGGUUUAAAAAAAUGAUAAUAUUUUUAUUUUGCUUCGACAAAACAGAGAACCCCAAAAAAAAAAUAAAGGGCGGGGCAAAACGCGGACCGGAGAACAAGCGGAAGGAAAAUAAUUCACGGGCUGGAAUGGGAAGAUAUCAAUAAUCUGAUUCGAUUCUGCUCCCGGACCAAAGUCAGACCCCUUAAAGGCCAGACAUGACAUGAGCAUAGGUCGAUUUCGGUAUCUCGUUUCUGCACAAGUUCAGCUAAACAAAAAAAUAUUUUUUGGGAGAGAUGUGUGCUUUGUAUCCUGAAAUAUAUUGUCCGGUGUCCUAAACCAGGCGUCGGAGACCGAAGAAUAUUGACGAGAGUGGCACUCUCGUCAAUUCAACAACACUGUGGAACAAUUCUGGAAAGUGAACUUUUGAUAGGGAAAGGAACCGGAAUCUCUACCCAAAACAACACAGCCAAAAGAAGGAUGUCAUUGCAUGGAGAAAAAUAAGUAAAAUAAAGGAAAGAGGAUGAGUGAAUCGCACAAACGACACGAAGUUUAAGCGAUUAUGAGGACAUUGGAAAGCAGUACUGAAGAAGGUGGAAUUGAUGCCACGAGAAGGAUACCAUUUAGGGGAAAGAUGUCGCGGGAUCAAAAUGUCGCAUAGGAGCGUAAAGCCCCUUUACAUUGGAGGCUUCCCAUCCAACGCCCCAUACGCAGCCACAUCGUCGCGUAAUCCAUGCGCGUAAGAUGGACGCGUUCGUAAUUAUUUCACAAAAUAAUGGUUCCAUGUUUAGGGCGUCUUUUAAGGCCAAUUCUAAGAGCACAGAUCGAAACCAGCAUGAAUCUACACGCAUCGUAAAGAUCAAACGAUGAAGAUCCGAGCAGAGGAGCUCUACAAAAAGGAGGAAUACCUUCGGAAGGAGACGGGUACGAUGCCAGCGCGGUACUCGGCGAUCUUGAGGAACAUGGGCAUGGAGAGGUCGAAGUGGGGGCGUGGUGGGUUGCACCACCCGCCGUUGUCGGAGGGGAGAGCGUAGUUGGGCGGGCAGAAGUUGGUAGCAGUGAUGAAGAUGGAGGGGCUCCCGCCGUGGCACCACCGCGGGUCGUCCGCGCACUUGAUCUCGAAGCACGACCCGCAGCUCUGCCCCUCGUUGAACAGCGCCGUGCUCAGCGCCGCCGUCUGCACCCCGUACCCCUGGCUGUACAGAUUCCCGUACCCACACGCCCCUCCUGCAAACCCAGCAUCCGGCACACAAACGUCGUCACUCCCCGCUUCGUUCGAGGCUGGACGCAAGAGAUCGGUGACUAUCAUAGGAAUGUGGCUUACCCAUGGUGCCGGACGCGUCACUGCCGCCGUAGAAGGUGGCGUGGGCGCUCUGCCACUGACCGCCAGUGUAGACGCCGGGAAUGCGCCCAGCCGCCGGCGCCAGGAGGGCCAGGAGUGAGGCGAGGGAGACGAAGGAGGCCAACGCCAUUACUCUGUCGCUUUGCUGCUCUCUAGGGUUUGGAUGAUGAGAUUGAAUAUUGAGCGAAGAGGGGGUAUUUAUGGACUCGAGAGUGACACCACAUAAUGGCAGUGGAAGUAAUUAAGGCCAUUUUGCGGGAGUAAAGGCAAAACGGAGACGGAAGAGAGCAAGGAAGGCGUUUUUGUCAAGGAUGGAGUGGUGGGGAAUAAUAAGUACUUAUUUGUGUGGGGCACGAUCAAACCACCCUACAAUUAUACCAUUGUUCCGCAGCGUGGUCCGUCCGAUGACCAAUCAACGGUUGAGAUUAGCCUAUUGAAGGCCUCGGGUAACGGGAAAUUGUGUGUUGCGGUAAAGUAGGAAACCGGAGGGUUAUUUAUUUAUUUGAGAGAAAAGAAAGGUGGGAUAUGGAUCUACGACAGCCUUCGAUCUGGGCUUUGCUUCCAUCGCAAGUUGUGCCGCCACCGACGGCUGUGAUUCGACGACUUUUUAUCCACGCUUUUGCACCCUUUAACCUCCACGCCGCUCGCACACACCACCGUUUCACUCUUCCGCGCAAAGGAUAGAAUUUAAAUGCGAACGGGGAAUGUUCCUUCCAAUCGAAAUCUGACGAAAGGAGACGCGCCAUUUUGCUUUAGUUUUUGCGUCAGGAAUUGUUUCACGUAGUGAGGGUUUUAUCUUUGUCCCUAUUCCCCCACCUUCUCUCUCUCUCUCUCUCUUCUUUACCACCUCCCUCCAACGGUACCCAACGAGCUACCUAACUGCGUUGCGAUGGGACCGCAGUCCGUUCCGUGGUAAUCGGCCGGACGAAUAGCUCUUCCACAGCACCACUGAGGGACAGAGGUGGCGUAAAUAGCAGACAUGCAGCAUCCUUCUGUCCCAAUACAAAUGUCCUGUACCUGCAGUAUGAUUGGCCGGGACGUUUUGAGCCCGCCGGCCGAGAGAGAGAGACAGGGUAGUCGAGAGAGUAGGAAAACGUUUCCCGACAAAAGAAAGGGAGGGGGCUUGAAGAGGGGAGGGGCGAGGUAGGUACUGGGGGUGGGUAAGCGUGACUCACCGCUGAGGCGUCGCCAUCAGGUGGGACAAGUCAACGUGGCCUGAGCGGAUUGGGAGGGUUGGGGGGUGGGGUCAACAAGGACGGGAGGUUGCGGUGGGAGUAGGGUAGGCGAGGUAGCAUCGGUUUCGACCGCCGCACACGCCGUCGCCAACCCCGCCGCGAACGCUGCAAACGUUCGACGUGCUUCGUAGCAUGGCUAAUCAAACCAUGCAUGCAUGCGCGUGGCUACGCCAUCUUUGUUUGGGAACCGAAUCCAUCAUACGUAAUGAGACUGCUUGACUUCCAUAGUUUACGAUCAUCUGCUACUUUAAUGGUCUGCGAGCAAAAGCGUUAUCGAGAGAGCACGAUUGUGAAAGCAGGUUUGCUUCAUCCAGGAUCUCAGAAAGAUAGUGAAGCUCAUUGCUCAUGGCUUGUGGAUUAAGCAAGCAUACAUGAUUGUGUAAUCUGGCCAUGUCUUUAUGUCUACUUGUAAUGCAAUGUGCUCUUCAGUAUCAGCUGCUCAACAAAUCCAUAGAGUUCACUUGGAAGAGAGAGAGAGAGAGAGAGAGAGAGAGAGAGAGAGAGAGAGAGAGAGAGUAGUNNNNNNNNNNNNNNNNNNNNAGAGAGAGAGAGAGAGAGAGAGAGAGUAGAGGAAUGUUUGGUGGUUUAGCUAGCAUGCUUAUCUUGCUGGUUAGAUUUAUUUUCAGUUUGCAUCAUGUGCUCAGACUCAAUGGCAACUUUUCUUAAAGUUGUUGUCUCCACAUUUUAAUCUUAUCCCCCAACAUUUGACAUUGAAGACUAAGAUUCUAAGAUUUCUCACUCAACAAACUCAGCUCAAUCAAGGAUUUGACUGUGAGAUAUGUUCUUCUUCCUAGAGUUCAGAGCAGGCCUAGUGUUGACCAUGGGUUAAAUCAUAUUAUCAACCUGUCUUCUUCCCUGAUUGCAAGUUAGACACUGGGCUUGCAGAUGAUUUCGCACAGCAUGCAUGAUGAUUUUGUUUGUACUUGAAACAAUUGAGAAUUAGUCAAAAGGAGUGUUGAUCAUGGAAAUGAAAUGAAACGCCCCACUGGAAUGAAUGGACAUCAAGAAGAAGAAGAAGAAGAAAAUAUUUUUAAAACGAUUAUAAUAGAUCGGUAUUACACCUCCGUCACUAACCAUUUUUACAUGAACAAAAUAUUUGGCAUUGUCGAUAUUAUAAUUGGCAUUCAAACCCUUGGAAAAUCGCAACAAAACUGAUCAAUAACUAUAAUGGCUAUUUCUUAUUUGUCAUUAUGUUUGUAUAUUUCUAUAUGUAUGAGCCACAAAGAUUACUCAUUUCUCAUGCAGCUUACCAUAUCCUCUAUGAUACUUGAAGUUUGUAACCAAUAAUACAACUCAUGAACAUCCAAUUGUCAUGUAUCCCGAUUUCAUUCAACGAGAGAACAGGUUGACCACCUUAACAGGUGAGCCCGAUACGUAUUCAAGACUGAGCCAUGUCGUACGGCAUGUGUACAUGGGGGGGCACUCAUCCAAUACUUGCACGUCGGGAUUUCUCCCCGACACACAAAUCUUCGCCAUUUACUUUUCUCUCCAUGUGGAAAGGACACCCAACUUGGAUGGAUGCCUUGAUCACUCGGCUAUCUCCACACUCCACCAAUCUUUCGUGUUCUUCCACAGCAAUAAAUACUUCUCAAUCGGCCAUUAAUAAACUACACAAGAUUGUAAGUAUACGAGGCACAAAAUGAUUGCUACUGCCAUUAGGAUUGCAUGUGACCGGGGGACAAUGUCAUGACGAUUUUGAUUGCUUUGCUUGGGGCUACACCUAAAAGCACUCCUCCUCGUGUGUACCGGCGACCUGAUGCUCACAGUAGAGAGAUCAGAAGAGAGAGGUUACUUUGGUUGACGUGUUGCACCUGUUUGCUAUAUUGCAUGUAGUAGCUUCGGACCACAUGAAACACUCGAUCGAUCAUGGACACUGCUGUCAUCUCCCAAGCUUCAGCACGCUUCGUCGUCCAAGAAAAGGGAAGCUUGAGCACGCUCUUGGUUGGCUUUAUUUACUUGGAAUAAUCGAAUGAUCGUGGCCUAUGGCCUUCUUUGGUGCAAGUGUUUAACGUGUUUGAUGCGGCAAAGCUUGGGCUUCCAAAACUUGGGUCUAAGCCUGACAGUGUUGACGAGUUGCCUCCCUAUGGCGAUUGGGUUGCAGAGCCUACGGCAGCGUAGCCUGUCCUGAAGUCAACAGAGCAAGCAUCAGAGUCCAGGGAGAUGGUGGCCAGAGACUUCGAGGGAGGAAGGGAUGGCUGUGUCUUGACCGAACUCCACAGCCUCCCAGGCCGAUCCCUCGCAGCAGCAAUCCAUGCAUGUUGGCCUGUAGCGUUUGGCAGUAGCAGAGGACAGCAGGUGUGAUGAUCCUCGGAUUCCUUCUCUGUUCCUCCUCGUGUACCUUUUUCAUUUUCUACUGUUUGAUGCUGGUGAUGAAAUCAUUUUUCUAGCACCUCAAAUUAAUUACCACCUCUAUUUUCUGUUGAAGGAUAGCUAACCAAGUGGAGGGCAGAAACAUUACAAGCUUUCAUUUGGAGAAUGGAGGACAGGAAUUGACUCUCACAAAUGAUCCUAAAUAUUCUACAGAAUGUGGCCAAAACAGGACUCCACAUUUGUUUCUAUCUCACCUUGGGCAGAAUAUAAUGUUGUGGUGUUCCUAAUUAGAUUUGAGUACGAAAAGGUGCUGUCAUGUGGUGAAUGUGUUGUGCUGAUCUUGUCUUGCCAACAUGAGACAUCAAUCUGUGGUGUUCUUGUUGGUACUGGCUUUAGGGAACCUAUGAUCCACAAAAGCUGAUUUCAAUGGCCAAGCAAAACCCACCCAGAACAGAUGCCUUUUGCUUGUUUUCUGAAGGAACAAGCUGUCAUACGAAUCCAUAGCUCCAUGCCCAGCAAAAGAACAAGUCAGAUUCAGAUUUUGGUUCUUAAGUCCUCUAGCUCCACAGAUACAACCCUAAAUACCUAAGCAUACGGAUAUGAGAUUAUAAACAUACAUAGUAGGCAAUCAUGCAAAAUAUUCUGCACUCAGCAAGAAAUUGCUUUCGGCUGCAGGUAAAGAGAGACUAUUCAAAGCCCAGAAGAACCCUAUUGGGAACGUUCUGCUUUGGGAUCCAUAUGAAGCUCUCAUAUUCUCCACAAGCUCAAAUUUAUCUUCUCAUGCAGAUUACGCCCCACCAUCUUCCGCACCAUUCUCCCUAUCCCAUGCUCCGUGGAAUGCAAGUGUAUGAUUUGUUUUGGUUGUAGUAUCUGGUAAGAAGCCCUGGAAAGCUGAUCCCUUCUUAAUACCUCAAAUGAGGUUCAUUGAGUGCGAACAAAGCACUCAUAUCUGUUCUACACUCCAAAUAGAAGAGGCAACAAAUGAAGGAUAUGUAUGUAGUGCAUGGACCUGAAUUCGAUGUAAAGUUUCUUCCGAAGUAUGAUUCAAUGAGUAGAGUUCAAGGUUCCGAUCUCCCAUCAUUUUCUUAUUUAUCCUCGUAUGGAUGGAUGACUUGGAGAAGUGAGUUGGAUUCAACUUCCCUCUCUUGCUUGGAAACACGAGAAGGAAUCAACAAAGAAGAAAGGAGCUUCACUACCAACACCCGCUCACCGGUAAUUUUCUGAUAUCCCUAACUAGUAGUGAAAUGAAACGACAACAAGGGAUAUCCUCACCGUGUCAACUGUUACGGGUGAUCGAUCGCUUGAUGUCUAAGAAUAACUUCAAGAGGCUCAAGUCAUCACGAAGUAGAAAAGACAGAAUUGGAGGACUAUGCUUCUCUGACACAGAGUACCACACCAGACUCUGUUUUUGGACAAUCUUCAUGGAGGUAGUUUGAAGGUGGAGUUGGCAAAACAGAGUCUUUGAUGGUAGCAUUUGUCAUAUACGUCUACUUUGCCCAUACUCUAAAGCUAACAUGGACCAACAUUCCUGUUAUGGUCAUCUCUUUUUCAUCUCUCUUGUAUAUAUGGCCAUCUAUCUCUCUCUCAUGGCACACCACCAUAUGUUCUCCAACUAUUCCAGCCAUCGAGCGUAAUACCUGCCUCUCUCUCUCUCUCUCUCUCUCUGUAUUAUCUCAUCGGGAUGGGUUCCUUCCCAUGUCCGUCGUCUGUUCUCGUCGAGGCCUUGGUUGUCUCAUCCAUCGUGUUGCUUGCGCUUCCAGCUGAUGUUGUACAAGCCCAGCAAAAUGGCAUAGUUAGACACUACAAGUUUGACGUAUGCUCUUUAGCAACUGCAGUCUUCUGCUUGCAUAAAUUGGACUGGCUAUGAGGUCCAGUGUUGCUGAAACAUUGAGAAUUCGAUCUGCAGAUACAAAUGGCAGAUGUGACUCGCCUGUGCUAUACAAAGAGCAUCAUCACCGUCAACGGGCAGUACCCGGGGCCUACGAUCUUCGCCAGAGAUGGCGACCGGGUCAUCGUCGAUGUGGUGAACCAUGUUCGAGACAAUGUCACCAUUCAUUGGUAUGGGAGUCUUACUCUUGUUAUUGCAGACGUACAGAGAACAGCCUAUCACCUGAUAGAUACUACACACAACUGAGGACAAUCUUUUGAGCACAGGCAUGGAGUCCGGCAACUGCGCAGCGGCUGGGCGGACGGGCCGGCGUACGUGACCCAGUGCCCGAUCCAGAGCGGACAAAGCUACGUUUACAACUUCACCAUCGUGGGACAGAGAGGCACUCUGUUCUGGCACGCCCACAUCUCAUGGCUUAGAACGACCCUCCAUGGCGCCAUCAUCAUCCUCCCCGAGCUCGGUGUUCCCUAUCCAUUCAUCGAACCCUAUAAAGAAGUCCCUGUCAUCUUUGGUACUCACAUCAGCCUCCUGUUGCUGCUGUGUUCAUUUGUCUUGGCUUCACUUUGCUAUCUAUACGCUUGCUUUGCAGGGGAGUGGUGGAAGGCUGAUACAGAGGUUGUCAUUAGUCAGGCACUUGAGAAUGGUGGAGAGCCAAAUAUUUCGGAUGCCUUCACCAUCAACGGACUCCCUGGUCCUCUCUACAACUGUUCGGUUAAAGGUACAAAGAAAACCCCUGCAAAUGGAGGAAUAUAUGUAGUUCGUUUGUGUGAUAAUAUCUAAAUGUUUUGAUCAUGGUGCAACUGCAGAUACAUUCAAACUCAUGGUGAGUCCAGGAAAGUCGUACCUCCUUCGCUUGAUCAACGCUGCACUCAACGAUGAGCUUUUCUUCAGCAUCGCCAACCACACCGUCACCGUUGUCGAGGUCGAUGCCGGCUACGUCAAGCCCUUCGAAGCCGACACCAUCCUCAUAUCGCCGGGCCAGACGAUGAACGUUCUGCUCGACGCCAAACCUAAUUACCCCAAUGCCAUUUUCUCCAUGAGUGCCAGGCCCUACUCUACUGGAUCCGGCGCCUUCGACAACACCACCGUCGCCGCCAUCCUCAAGUACCGCAACCCCAGCAAUUCGUCCUCUGCUGGUUUUAGCAAGGAGCUCGCCCUCUAUAUACCAGUCCUUCCGGCGUUUAACGACACAUCCUUCGCUGCAAACUUCACCGGCAAGUUACGUAGUCUGGCGACGGCUCAAUAUCCGGCCAACGUACCGCAGACCGUCGACCGACGCUUCUUCUUCACCGUCGGGCUCGGUACGGACCCGUGCCCGACAAACCAGACGUGCCAGGGACCAAACGGCACCAAGUUCUCUUCCACCGUCAACAACAUCUCCUUCACAGAACCAACGACGGCUCUCCUCCAGGCGCACUUCUUCGGGCAGUCGGAGGGCGUGUACACGCCGGACUUCCCCGCCUUCCCACUCAUGCCGUUCGACUACACCGGAACUCCGCCGAACAACACGAACGUGAGCCAUGGGACCAAGCUGUUGGUGCUUCCCUUCAACACCAGCGUCGAGUUGGUGAUGCAGGACACCAGCAUUCUGGGGACGGAGAGCCACCCGCUGCACCUUCAUGGCUACAACUUCUUCGUGGUAGGGGAAGGGUUCGGCAACUUCGAUCCGGCGAGCGACCCGGCCGAGUUCAACCUGGUGGAUCCGGUGGAGAGGAACACCGUCGGGGUGCCGGACGGCGGCUGGGUGGCCAUUAGAUUCUUGGCGGACAACCCAGGUUAGUAUGUAGAUAUACCGCGUGCAUUGCGUGCAUUAGAUUCAAACUGUUGAAAUCUGCAUCAUUUGCAGGCGUGUGGUUCAUGCACUGUCACAUCGAGAUCCACUUGAGUUGGGGUUUGACGAUGGCGUGGCUGGUCUUGGACGGAGCACUUCCCAACCAGAAGUUGCCACCUCCGCCUUCGGAUCUCCCGAAAUGCUAGACUUUGAUGAUGCGGGUUCUAAUUAUCCGAUUGUUGCUUGGGUUCUUUUUGUUGUCUUAUUAAUUUGCUUCACACAGCCAUCGAGAGAGACUAUAUUAAGGUUUUUGUUGGCAGAAAAAGACCCGAAUUGACCAUGUCCAAUUAUUAUUAUAUUAUAUCUCACGAUGAUCUCAUCUGUCACGCAGCGUUAGAUCGCUGAUCACAGCGAUAAUUAUUUUUCUUUUAGAAGCUUUUUUGUUCCUAUCGAUUUAACAUUUCUUUAAUUUCUAAAUAAAAAAUCUAAAGUAAAAUUGGUUUAAUUGUCUUUUUAUAAUCAUAAAAUCUGAGAUAAUUCUUUAGUCAAAUUCCAACAUCCAAACAAGCGAUCUCCACCGCCCAACUUAAAGAAUAAACGCAUGACAAGUCUUUUUCUUACUUGUUUCUUUCUUUCUCGAAUCCAUGUGAAGUGCAUCUGUCGAUCUGUGGUCUCAAAACAAAAUCUGCGUUGUGAUUCUGCUGAACCCUACAUUGUCUCAAAAUGUUGGUGAUCGGAUGAUGAAUUUUCUCGAAAUAAUUAAUAAAUAUAAAAAGGAGCAAACAUUUUUCUUUAUAGAAAUUAUAGGCAAAGAUGAACAUUCUGUAUACAUAUUAUGGACAAGAAGCGAUCGAUCCGUACGUGUCAUACGGUGUUGCUUUGGUGAAUUUGACAUCGUUCACCCAUCCUUUGAUUGUUUAAGAUUCAGACUGUGGCGGAAAUGGAGCCCUAAAUCAAUGUCAGAUGGAUUGGUAGGUGGGGAAAUUGAUGCAGAAUAGUAGGAGGGACAAGGCGUUGGGAAGAAGUGGUAAUGAUGAUAUGAUGAGACAGCAGAACCAGUACUGCAUGGCUCCCUGAUGAGCAAGGGCACAACAUCUUGCAGCAGUCCUUGCGGAUACUGCACAGCAUCCCUCGGACGCAUGUUUUGUUUCCCUGCGCCAGGGUUCAGUGUAGCUUCUUCCUCGAGUCCUCGAUCGGGAGAUCCUGGACUGCUCUCGCCACUGGUCACGGCCACCACCUCCUCCCUCAGUUCGCCUUGAAUACUUUGGCUCUUGUAAUCUUUGUGCAGCUGCUCCUCGCCCUGCAGCUUGGGUUUCUUGGGCACCUGAAGCUUCGUAGCAGUAUGAUCCUGGGGACGACGCCGGAGGACGUGAAAGUGGGGAUAGUGAAGAUGGAGGCCUUCGUAGGUUAUGGUGAGCAUGUUUGGAUCUUCUUUCGACCUCUCUACUUGCCUUUUCGCACUGCACCGAGGGUUGGUGCACCUAUAGUAACUCCUGCUCGACAAACCAAAGAAAGAAGCUUCACACAAACUAAGACAGAACGAUGACACGAGCGCCAGAAAAUAGAUCGACUGUAUUUGAUUCUGAUUGUUCAUUUGUUGGUGCUUGUCUCAUGCUAGUGAGACAAACAUGUUCUAACUCUAUACCUGAGGACUGGUAACAGCGAUUGGAACCGAGUCGCGGGUGAUACGCGUAUCAUAAUUUGGUAAGCGUACAGUAUUCACCGAGGGAAGAAAGUACUUGUGUUCAUGCCGUAUGUAUACGUAGUACAAAUAUGUUUGUGGGAACAUGUUGUUAAUCUUUGAUCUGAAUGAAAUAGGCAUUGGUGGCAAGAGAAAGAACCUUGGGUUUGGGUUGUUCUUUAUAGUUUUCUGGCCAUAUUUCCUCCACUUAUAGCCAUCCUCUGCUACUCCACCUCCACAGCUCUUGAUCAUCACCGCGUACUUGGUGUCCGAUUUGCCAAUGCCUUUCUCUGGUACUGGAGCUCUGCAAGCACGCACGGGGACUUCCGGAAUGAUGAGCGAGCGUCAAAGAUACAAUAGAAUCACGUUGUAGAAGAAAUGAUAUUAGCUCACUUACCUAUAACGAUGUGAAGUAGCGCGGACGUCAGGAACCUUGGUAGAUAGAGCUCUCUCGAUGUCUUCAAUGGUCGGACCGGAAUAAGCCGACGAGAUGAGCGUGUUUGGUACGUGCCGCAGACUACCAGCUGUUCCACCAUCUGCAGCCUUGGAUGAGACGAAGGGAGGUGAUGCUUCAGCCGAAAGCUCUCCGAGAAGCUCCUUCUCUGAUUCAUCAUGCCAAUAGAUCUCUGGUUCUUUUACUUGUGCCAUCGGAACCAGUUCACCUUGAUUUGUGGGUUCUGCAAUCGCCAAGGAGAACGGAGAGAGAGAGAGAGAGAGAGAGAGAGAGAGAGAGAGAGCCGCUGUCGGUAAGCAGCUUAAACUUGGCUUUUAAUGACCCAAUUUAAAGUGUUGUGAAUCUCUUUGGUGAAAGGUAUUCCAGACGCUGGACUGUGGCAUUAACUGAAGUAAUGAUCAACAACGGAGUAGAAAAAUGAAUAGCCCAGCGAUCAUCUCAUGCAUGCAUCUUCUCUUUAAUUAAAACCUCAAGCAAGCAACGUAUGACCUACAUCCGAAGACUCCUCCCUCGAAGACCACCGAGUACACGUGAUCUUAUCCCUCCCCCCUCUCCUCCCGCUGUUGCAUGUUGUGGAUGCCUCCCAGCUAUCCAUUCUUCUCCUCUAAAUCAGAGUCCAAGAAACGCAGCUCACGUUUCAACAAACUCACUGUGGCUGCAUCAGCAACGACCCACGCUUGCUGGACUAGCAUUUACUCUUGUACUUACUGUACUGUAGAUACACGGUCCCGUGGUUCGUUGUCUCUUGACAAGUCCCAUCCUCAUCGCUCCAUAUGAUAGUUCAAAGCGACCAGCGGCACCUGGUUCUGCCAGUUUGUACACGACACGAAGAUGAUAAGUCCGAAUCCUCGACUGUCAUUGCCAUCACAAGAAGAUAUGAUGCUGCAUCCCAAUGCCCGGCUGCAUGCAUCCUGGAGUUGAAAUGAUGCACACAGUCCGUGACGAGAGACGUCAGACAAGACUCUUGUACAUGAUAAUGGAUUGGAUCGCAACUUUGUGCCGAAGGAUACCCCUACCAUCUGACGGUGUCAGUGUCACACCGCUAUUCGUGAGCAGCUUAUUUGAGAGUUGAUGGAAGAAAUAAAUACUCCUGUUGCACCCAACCCAAACAGAACACAGGGUGCUAUUAGCGGCCGCCCUUUGGACUUAGCUGGAGAAUACAUAAAUGCAUGCAUCUUAUUGAUUGAAUAUUUGCGAAUUGAAAGCCUGGGGACACCAAGCAAUAAUGCUGUGCGCGAGUUGGCGCAACAGUUCCUAUCAAACAAGAUACAUGGCAGGAAGAUAUAAUAACAUCAUUACUUUGCAUGAUUUUUAGAAUAUCAUAUUUAUGCCACGAUAUCACUGAUGUAAUGCACGCAAACUAUUCGAUAAGAUCGAUUAUUCCAAGAGAUACCCACAUAAAUGGGCCUUCGUAAUUGAUUUGUUUUAUGUAAUGAGCUUUUUGGUCUUCUUCUUAGUUGACGAGGAUAGUAAUUACGAUAAGACUCGGCUGACGUCAACCGACGCAUCACGCCUCAAUCGACGUGAUUGCACUCGGUCAACCGAACCGGAACACCGGCUGAGGCGCAUUAACGCCUACUCAGACGCGGUUCUUCACGCCAUGCCAGCGCCCAUGUCAGACGCUAUCAGCCUGCCUCCUGCAGGCGGGCAUAGCAGUAAGCUUCCCUAUAAAUACCCUCUCGUUCAUCAGAAAGGGGAGGGGGGGACCGACACAAAAACCUUUCUUCAUCUGAAAUCCUCACUCCACAUCACUAACUUGAUCGUCGGAGGGGUCGAGCUGAGCUUCCGACCCGACCUGUGUGCAGGUACGAGGAAGAAGCGCUCUCAUCGGGCGCACAGGCAAAGAGCCCCUUCUCGGAGGAAACCGUCGAGUCCCGCCUGUCCCGAGGAGCCCUUCCCCCGGGAGAUUCCCCGUCAUCCAGACCUGAACCGAGCCACGUCGGCCCCGUGGCCACGGCUUAAAAUUGUUUACACUAACAUUAGUUUUAUUGUCCUUUUUCAUUGGGAUUUUUAAGGCCGUUGGAUCGAAGACGGCCGGAACAUAGCUUUCCUUUCCCAUCCAUGGCGACGUUCGUCCUCCCCACUCGCUCGGUCCGCUCGGGUUUAUGUCAGCGUCGACAUCGUACCGGUACGUCUAUAUAACGGGCGUUACAGAACUCGUGCGACACACUUUAUAACCCGGGAGAAGAGUCCGACGGCGUCCCCCACACGACACCACCGACGGAGCGUGACUGCAGGUUUGCAGCGGGCCCAACACCAAAACUACAGCGACGCCCUUAUCUCGUGGGCCCGCUAAACGUGUCUUUGUUCACCACCACAAACGACGCCUCGAAACGCGGACACCGUGGGAUUUCGUCGUAUUUUUAUUUCUCAUUAAGAGACUACUCUUUCACGGUCGUAAUAAGUCUGACGUAUCUUCCUCGAAUCAAAUGGAAGGUAUGGCGUGUGGUAUGAAACAAAUGAAGCAUGGAUAUUCGGUUUAGUUCUCGCUUUUGGUGCAGACCCAAUUCCCGCCAAAUUUGAAACGCGUUUGCCAACUCCACCGCCUUACCUUGGCUUCCACCGCACACCACUCUUCUUCUCCUCCCUAUAUACUCUCGGUCUCAUUGGAUUUGGAUCCCAACACAACAAUGGGAGCGGGAAGGAUGGAGAUGCAAAAGAUAAAGAUUGGGCGGCCUGGCGAGGAGGAGGAGGUGGCGGUGGGCGGAUGGGAGACGCCGAAGAGGGCGGAGUUCCGGAUCCCGGCUGCGGUCCGCUGCCCCGCGCCGCCUAAGAAGAAGUCCCCCUCCGUGGCGUUUGGCAAGAGGGGGGAUCCGCCCAAGAACGGCUACUUCCACCCGCCCGACCUCGAGGCCCUCUUCGCCCUGUUUUCGAGGAGGGAGGCUUGUGCGUGAAUUCGGCGUAUAUGGCGGGUUAUUGUAGAUAACAGAUGCUAUAAGGUAUGGUUAGGAUUCUUGAUAUAUGUAGUGCUUGGAACCUUUUGCUGCAACGAUGGUAGUGAUUUUUUGUAGGCUUAUUCAUUGUCUGCGGCCCCGUUAAUGUAGUUGGUAUCAUAAUGAUAAAUGAAUUGGUGUUUACUUGUUUUUCUGGAAUGGGGGAAGAAAAUAUUGGGGUUUUGAUGUUCUUGGAAUUAUGCAGUCUUUGCUUUGUGCUGGUUCAAGUUGUGUUGUAGUUGUAGUGCAUCGACAUCGAGAUGACAAGCACAAGGAACUUUUACUUGAUUUUGCUUGAGACUGUUGCAGAUCGGACGAGAAGGAUGUUUAUUCGAUGAUACUUGUUAAUUAGUUGUCGUGAAAGCAAGAAUAAGAAUAAGAAAGCAUUCGGUGUUCUAAUGUCUGCAGACAAAGAAGUCAUGCAGUGGUCCUCUGAAGAUUCUUCAUUUGGUGGAACAUUCAACUAAUCAUCAUUGUAGUGUUUUCGUAGAAGGAUUUUUCUCUUGGCGAAUGGAGAAAGCUCGAGAUAAAGAAUCCUAAACGACAUCGGUUGUAGAUAUCUAUGGGAGGCAUAAAAUUCAGCAUAUGUGGCAUAGUAUUGUAUUAAUAUGAGGGCCACAUGCGUUUGGCCUUCUUCCGGUCUGAAGACCUCAUUGAUGAUGAACUGAAAGAAACAAGGAUUAAAUAGUUCAUCUUUCUUGUUUCAUUCUUCCAAGGCCUUUGGUCCACUGCUUUCGGCGUAUAAAGAUCACAUGGAGUCAUGUGGAGUUCAUUUCUCCGGGCAUCCCUAGCGGCGCCAUGUCUCGGCACCUCACAUGCCUUGCAGAAGCUUUCUGCUGCCCUAACGAGGCUAAAGGAUGAAGAAACAAGUGCAUCCUGUGAUGAGUCUUCUUCCUCCGCCUUUCAUUUCUGCUGGAAAGCCAAGGACAAAUGAGCUUCGAUGAAUAGGUCUUUCCAUUUCAAAUUGGAGAGUCAGAACUGAGGCCUAAACGGACGCAUCUGAAUCAAAUCACGGAUGCUCCUGCACGAGGUUGGUCGAUUAGGGUUGGUAUGGGUCUGCGGACAUCCCAAAUCUUUGACAGGUUCGUCCUGCAUAUGCCCUGUGGGUGUCAUUUUGCUGCGAUAACUAAGAAACUGAGGCUAUCCCAUGAACAUGGCAGACAAAUGGGCCCAUAGAUUGAUUACCACCAUGCAAUGCACGCAGGCAAAUCAGAGUGUUAGCACUCCGUUUCCCUUAAAUACAUGCAUGCUAGUACUGCUUUUAAGCAGAACCAUUGGGUUCAACAACAAGACCAAGUUUUCAAGUAAUAAAAUAGUUGGAUUUAGUGAGAUAAAGUUGGUCUUCAAAUCUCAUUUUAUUUUCCAUGGCUCGGCAUUAUGAUUAUGAUGGUCUGGUCUGAGACAAAGGAGGACAUGCAUGCACAACUUUGGUUCAUGAAUCUUCACCUAUCCCGGCAUUAAUGACUUGCACAGAAUAACCCCUUCAUAUUUUUUUACCGUGAGAAAUUAAGAUGAAAAGCCAUCGACAUGAGAACGUCUGGUGGAAGUUUCAAUUCAGUGAUGUGUGAUGAAUGUGCUGAGUCCGGAAGAAGAAGGGAAGGAUCGACGAGGCGUCGGAACUCGAGAGGGGAGCCGACCAAGAUUCGCUGGUGGAGUAGAUAUAGCAUUUGACGAGGCAAAGGCGACCCCGUAGGUGGCCUCCGGAACAGAUUCUCGUGCAACAAGAUUAGAUCUCACGUCUGAGAACCUCCACCCAUAUGAACGAGAAAAGUGGGCGGAGAGACGUGAAGAACCCAACUUCUUCCUCUUAUCUUCUUCUUCCUGUAUAAAUCAGCGUCGGAGGUUUCCUCAUGGAUUCAUUCUGUCAAUUGCAUAAACCCACUCUCUUGUUUUGUUCUUUCUUCUCGGUUGGAUCGUCGCUCUUUAGCUAGUACUUCUUCCAUCUGUACGAGAACCGAGUCUGAGAGGGAGAGGUCGCGGAGUAGAGGAACCAGAAAACAAAGGUUUGCUUCGGCCGUGGAGCCGCCGAGCAUGGACGAGAAGUGGAAGCUGUCCAAGAAGGGGAGCAGGCGAGAAGGUGGCCCCUCGUGGAAGGGUUCCGGGAGCGUUCAGGAGGGGAGGAGGAGGAGGAGGACCAGCAGCAGCAUGGCGACGGCGACGCGGUCACCGUUCGCGAGCCGGUGCGCGAGGCUGGUGAAGGAGCAGAGGGCGAGGUUCUACAUCAUAAGCCGCUGCGUCACCAUGCUCGUCUGCUGGAGAGACUACCCUUGAAUUAAGAGGACCUACAGCAUGUACCGCCGCCUCCUCUUGUGGUUGCAUUUGGGUUUCCUUCCUCUGUUGGAGACGGCCUUCUCAGCCGUCCGGUGAGGAAGGGAAGGGUUGGGCAUAGGAUGAUACAGACAUAGAAGCAAAGAAAUUAAUAUGAAGAAUACGAUGGAUUAUCAUUUUUUUUUCCUAUGGCUAUUGAGUAUCGAGUGAUCUGAUCUAUCAAGACUCAUUCGAGGAAGAAAAAUUGACCGAAAAAGAAGUCUUUGAUCUGGAUAAGGCCUUUUCUCUUGGAGGUAUUUAAUAUUUGUAGCAAUCAAAAGAAUGAUAAUAGAUGGAAGGAUUGUCUUUUCAUUGUAUAUGCUCAUAUCCGUGUAUAUGAGACAGCCUUAACAAUGAAUCCAGAAGAUAAUUCUAAAUUUAGUGAGGAGAAUAAUAACCCAUUAUACAUUGUGCUUAUUAGCAAAAUAUAAAAUUGUAUCAGUCAGUUAAUAAUUAUUUAUGCACUGAUAAUAUUAUUUUCACAAUGCUUAUUUUCAAUUUUAUGAAGAUUUUCUAAAGCAUUUAGCAUUCUAUUAUGAUUUUUUUUAAUCUUUUUAUAAAUCGAUAAUGGAAUGUUAAUUUGUUAGAUUCUUUGUUUGGCCCAAUUUUAUGUGUUCAAAUUUAUGAUACUAAAUCAAAGCAAGAGUUGCAACCACAAUUCUUUCUUUCUUUCUUUCUGGUCUUAUGUAAUCCCUGUAACUGAGAAACCACUGCUUGUUAAGAUUAUUAACAAGCAUUAGUGCAUUAUAUUUGACAGCGGCAUUGGCACCAGUUUUGUCUUCUGGAAAUUGCAAUUCCACCCGUUCUCUGCAAAGAAGUGAGAAGCAUGAAGAAGACAAGUGACUCGGUGAAUCUUUGGACUCUGAGCCAACAUCUGUGUCGGUAUCAUACUCUCGUGUCUCCCUACCGAGGAAGGCGACGGAAUCGUCUCUCUGCUACUUCACUUUCGGUCACAGAUGUGACAAAUCGCUCCUCCACUCCGAGCGCGUUGAUUGAUGUCCGAUAGCUAAAACCGCGUCGAGAACUCAGGCCGAGUACAUGAAUCCAUGUGAAGGGAGAUGGAGCACAUCCCCAUCCGCGCCGCUGCCAAUCUCCUCCUCCUUCUAUCGUAAUUUCUGAUCCCAUACAUGUUCAUAAGAUGGAGACGAUCUUGAAAUCGAAGCUUACAGAAGACGAGUUCGGAUCCAAACCAAUACGAGAAGCAUAACAAUACUCGGUCGCUUCGAGUCUUCAUCAGCUCUAUUCCCCACCUAAUGGCGCGUGUAUCUCAGAGGAGAGCCUGAAAGGCCGAUGGCGACGGCGAAGUGGACGGGAACGGAAUUGGUGGGAAUCGCAUAGGACGGUAACUCUUUUUCCAAAGUUUUCCAUGCUGUUUGGGCAAAGAAUAAACCUUUUGCAAAAGAGUAGGGAAUAUAUAAUUGGUUGCUAAGAGAGAGAGAGAGAGAGAGAGAGUUUUUCUUCCUUGGACGAAGGGUUAAAGAUCUUUGUUCAUUUCAUUAGGUGUGAAAUGAUACAUGAAAAAGAUUCAGAAUGAAGAACACUAGUAAAAAGAAAGAGAGAAAAUGGAGGAAAGAGAGCCACAGAAUCCUGAGUUUAGAUUCACAGUAUAUAUACAUAUAUAUCAACAGGUGGAGUGAAACGAUGUGCUCCAAACGUCAGAAGCGACAGCUUAUCCAACGAUAAGUUUUUUAAAGGGGAAAAAAAGGGGGAGAGACAAAAAAGGAAAGGAACACUAAGACUACAGGUCAAAAGAUUGGCGGAAGGUCCCCAAAAAGGCCGUCGAUGCGGCGCUUAUCUUUCACAGCACCAGACCGAGUCUUUGGCUAGCCAGGUCGCAGCGCACGGGAGCGAACCCGACGCGGCCCUUCUCCAGGUCGUACUCCACCCACAGGUUCUGCUGGUGGUGGUGCCCGAUCACGUACGCCGCCAUGGGCACCAAGUCCGAGUUCCCGAAGGUGAAGCACCACACCUCGUCCCGCCCCCGCCGCUCCCCAGCUACCCGGUACAGCAGCCGCUCCUCCGUCACCGCCACCUCCGCUCCACUGAACAUCAGUACCACCGCCGGCAACCCCUUCGGCGGCGCGCCGGAACCGGUUGGUAACCGGAAGCACAGGUCGAACGCCCCCUGGAAGACGAAGUCCGGUUCGUUCAGCACCGGCAGGACCCCCUUUGUCUGCCUUUGGAACUCUUGCUUCAGCGCGCUGUAGGCGUCGCCGAGGAGGAAGGUGAACUGCGUCCCCGAGUCGACCAUGGUCUGCCCCGCGCCGGUGUGGUCCGGGACGAGCGCCGACUUGGGGAUGGGGAGGAGCGUGCGGCCCACGCGGAUGCCCUCCAGUUGGACGGAGUAUGCAACCCGGUCGAAGUAAGGAAGGGGGAGAGCGAUUUGGACGAAGGGGGUGUAUUUGAGGGGGAGGAAGGACAGGGUGUCGUGGCCGAGGAGGAGGACGCCGGCGGCGUCGCGGUCGGAGAUGCAGUAGGAGAAGCGGCGGGUGGCGGUCUGGGAGACGAAGGAGAGGGCGCCCCUGUUCAUGCCGAGCAUGCCGGCGGCGUAGAGGUCACCGGUGGCGGAGGAGUAGGCUGACGUCAUGCAGCCAAAGACGGUGCGCAGGGGAGAUGACUCGCCGACGCGGAGGAGGUCGGAGGCGAGGGUGCCCUCCGAGGAGGAAGCGUCGGCGUAGGUGAGGGCGACGUGGCAGAGGCGAGUGGACUCCUCGCAGGUGGCCGGGAUGGGAAGGUCGCGCGUCCGGUCACGACACGUCGGGGAGGAGCAGGGAACGGGGGAGUAGGUGGAGGAGGCGCGAGGACGGAAGGACGGAAAUGCGGCGGUGGAGCCGCCGCAAAGGAGCCACGACAGCUCGCUGCCGGUGUCGAGCACCAGGGAGAGGUUCUGCGGCGGGCUCCCCACGGAGAGGGAGACGGUAAGGCUGACGUUGUGGUGGAACCGGAGCUUGUUGGGUGACAUCGGAAGGCUGGAAGUCGACAUCUUCUGGGUUCGCAGCGGAAGAAGAAGCGGCUUUGCCUUGGAAUCAGGAGCCAUAGUCCGUGCCGCCAUCACAAAACAGAGCAAGUUCAGGUUUUGAAACAUGAGAAGACACAAAAACAGGGGAAUAGAAGCAGAAACAGGGGAGGCCAUAGUGUAGCUUCUUUCUUCGUGCGAAACAGAGCAGUCUGGGAUCGAGGCAGAGACGGGGCUCUUUAAAUAGCAAAAGAAGGCAAGAGGAGGAGGAGCGAGCUCGCUCGGGGAAGGUGAGUUUUGGGAGGGUGGGGUUUGGAGACGCUCGCUAAGAGCGGAGUGGUUUCGAAUCCCUUUCUGCGAUAACACUGACAAGGCAUUCGUCGUUGUCGUUUCUCGUUUGCCUUGUAUAAAGAAAUAGAAGCCUCACCUCGUCAUCAUCCAUUCGAGGAGUCCACUUGCGAUUCCUGAAGAGGAAAUCGGAGUGACGAACUAACAAUCUCGACGCAUCGUUACGGCACAUUUCGCUCGAACGCAACAAUGGUGUGUCAUUGUAGCUCCAGCGACGUCUACCAUUGGCUUUGUUGGCUCAGAGAAAACUGGCGCCUGUUCCAAUUAAGUCAUCCGCCAUCGGCCAAAGGAGGAGGACGAUGUCAAAAGACGUGUCACAUUUGCGUUCCCACCGCGUGGUCCACCGCCCGUACGGGGACUCCACUCGUGAUGCUACACUCACUGACCUCCUCUUAGAUACAACAGUACAGCGCUCGCUGCAUGGCAAUCACCAGUUAAUAAGUUAACACAGCUGUUCCAUGCACGGCCUCUCUCUAUCUCUCGCUGUGUCCAGUAUAGAUGAUACUGGGUCUUACGAAGCUAGCUGUCUCUCAUUAUUUCUGGGAAUUGAACUGAAAUCACCACUGACACAUUUCCCAACCCCACCAAACCCCAUCGCCGAAUACAAAAUAAAGAAUCAAACCAAGUGCUCAUACAAAAAGGAAGGAUCACAUAUACUAUUAUUGGCUUUAUGAUGGUGUUGAUGAAACCCUUCAUUUUGUCGGCUAUGGUUCUAGAAUUUAUGCAGACGAGCUACAGCACAGCAGCUUCAAGUACGUCCUACCUUGGAACAUGAUGACGAUGUCACCAUAUUGACAGCAGUAAGAACCUUUUCAGAGCACCACAAAACGACGACAGUAAUGCUUGGCCCGCUCGGGGGAACAACCGUUUGGGUUUUCCAUGGAGCAGGUCUUGGGAUCAUUGAAUGGGGACUGUCGAGGUGAUCUAUCGUCGAUCCUGGAGAAUCCCACGAGCUUCAUCAGCGAUGAGGACAGAUUAGAGACCAGCCUCCGAUGGAGUGGGCACCGCAAGAGCUCAUCUUUCAAUGAGAGAGAGGCGAAGACGACAACAUAGGAGACCUCACCGUGGACCUAUGUUGAAAUUUCAAUGGCUUGUGUGCUCCUGCAAGGAUAAGCUUUGGCCCGUCAACUCUUGCACUGCUGCUGUGUUGGCCUUGUCCGGCUAAAUAAUUUAGUGUUCAGUGUGCACUUCAAGUCAAACUGACUCCGGAAAGAUACUUUUAGUUUUUUUCUCUUCUUUUUUUUAUGAUUGUUCAGAGUGUUCCUUUUUCUUUUCUUUGAAUGUUUAUGAUUUUGGAUUACGAAGAAAGUUUUCCUAUAUACUUCUCUCAAAUUAACAUGAUUUAUACCAUCAUCAUGUCAGCAAUUAUUUCCAUUUGACGUGGUAUUCACAUCAUUGAUAAUAUUCCGUUUGGAUAAUAACAAUGUUGGCAACCGUACACCAAUGAGUGCCAUCCACAACGUUGUCUUGCGUGAUUUUUAUGCCGUCAUCAUGUCAGCAUCGAGUACCAUUCUGAUGGUGAUGCGAUAGCAUAUACCAAUGGUGUGGGAUGCCAUUGCCGACUGCCUCCUUACAUAUUGCCACCACGUCAAGAUCAGGUGACUGGUAUGCUGGUAGCCAUUAAACCACAGUCUCAUGCCACGUUUUUAUUCGAUACAAAUGCGACCAAGAAAUUAAAAGUCUCCCAUCAUGUACUGUGAACACAGUGCAUCAAUCAUUGUACUGCAAUGACUUGAGAAAUAUCAAGAGUUAGUCCGAAUGAUUCAAAAUCCAAAUGCCUCGGUGAAUAUGUUGGAGCGACUAGUGCAUGAUUGGAAGAUGAGAUCGUGGAGAUAGUCCAAGAAAACACAUACAUUCGAUGAACAGGUAAUUGGAUAGGGAUUAUUAUGAUGCUGUGGUUGAACAUCAACUUCGUGGAGUAUGGGCUGGCAGUGAGCCGUCCACUUCGACAUUGAUGGGGCUGAUUAAUCACGUCAUCUUUCACUAACGAUGGCAAUGCAUCCGGUGAUCACAACCUAUCGAGUCUAAUCUGGUGAUUCAUAUUGCAGGGCCGUAUGAUUUGCUUAGGUGAGAAGGCGACCAUUAGUUGCCAUGAUUGAAGAGAGAGGAAGGCGUGGAGGCUCAAACGCACGCGGCUUCCCAAACUCUCUUGCUCCAAUCAUUCAUUCAUUACCUGUUGCUGUUACUAUGAGGAUAUGUUUGGAGAUUUCUGCGGUAAUGUUGUAGUAGAAUACGUAAAUAGUUUCUUUGUUUUGUUGAUUCAAAGGGACGAAAUUAUAUGCACUUUCUUAUUCGAGUGUCACUCCACCGGAAGGCAGUGGUCCGGUGACUACUGAUUCGGAUUCUUAUGUCUGGUCUCUCGGAUAUCUUCGGAUAGGAUUCAGCUGGCUACGCAUACCGAGAGUGUGGAUCCUAUACAUGCUGAUGACCUCACUUGUGGUAUCCAUAGGUAAUGUUAGUCUCCAUAUGGUUGCCUCACCUAAGAUGUCUCUGUUACGGACGUGGGUGAAGUGGUGGAACGAACGAUAACUUUAGAGAGAGCAAGCAUAUCCAACGCAGGCAAUGGUACGCACAGUCAUACAAAGACCUGAUGAUAUAAUGAUUCAUAUAAUGACAUACAUGUUACAAAUUUUCUUUUUCGUCAAAAUUAGAUGGACAUUUUCAGGUUUUUAUUUUGUUCCAAGGAAUAUGUUAUUUUUAUCAUUCAAAUUUGAUUCAAAGACAAUUGAAAUGUAUAUAUCGGUAUGUAUAAGAGUCCAUCAUAACAUCUACCCCAAAGAUACACGACAUGGCAAGCAGCAGAAACGUCGGGAAACCCUCACGUAGUCCAGCGCAGAAACCGAAGCACCUCCUUCGCUCGCUCCACCAAUGGCGAGGCCAAAUCGAAGUUGACAGUCCCGUCGUUGCCGGCGAGCAUCCGGUACUUGUCCUUCCUCGUGUAGUUGGUGCAUUCGAAGCCAAGCGAGGCCGCCAGGAUCCUCUGCACGUAGUUGGCAACGUCAUGCGGGCUCUUCCCGGCAGAGCACGUCGCCUCCCACGGCAGCUGGUUGAGGAACGUGACCUCGUAGAUUGGCCGGGGGUUCAUGAAGAAGAAGAUGGGGUCCAUCGCCUUCCACCCCCUCGCCGUGGUCGCGUGGAAGAAGCCGACGCGAUAGUUCAUGGCCACCGGCACGAUCCGGUCCGUCAGCUCGGCGAAGAGGGCGCUGAACCGCAGCAGAAAGGGCUCCCUGCAUGUGGUGCCCUCGGGGCACACCACCAGGUCGCCUUUGGCAAGCUCGCUCCUGAUGCGCUCCGCGUCCACCUGCCGGUCCCUGCUCAACCGGACGGUGCGGAUCGGUGACAGGAUCUCCGACAGCCAGGAUAUGGAGUACGUGACGGCCGGGACCUUGCGACCGAGGACCGUCGACAGGACCACCGGAUCCAUGAGGGUGCGGUGGGUGCACACGAAGAGGACGCCGGUGGUAGAGCCGGAGACGGGUGGCGGCGGCCGGCCUCUCACGAUGAGCGCUCCGCCGAACGGGCGUGCGAUGUAAGGGAUGACCCAUAUGGGGACGGUCAGACCCACCGCGAUGCGGACGAAGGCGAGCACUAUACCAAAUGGUAUCCACAAAAUGGUGAGGAGUGCUGUGAAUGGCGUGGGACGGCGCACGAGGCGGCCAUCAUGGAAGAUCACCGGCGGCGGUCGUCUUUGUUCUUCCUCGUUGUGCACCGGGUCAGCGGAGACUGGCAUGCGAUGUAGUUCCUGCUCACGUACCAAAUGUUGUUAUUUGCUCUGUUUAAGGAUAGCUAUCUACUCUGUUUAUACUUGAAGAAGUGUAGUUAACAUCUGUUUACCUCCCUACUUACGUCGUCAACAAGUUACAGCGGUUUUGUACUCAAAUAUAAUUCUCAUGGUCUCUACAGAGGGUUUGAUCUCAAAAAUAAAAAUUUUCUAUCAAACUAUUGCGAAGCAACAAUGUUUUUGGACUUAUAUGAUCUUAGGAGAAUCCUGCUCUUAGAAAGAUAAGAAUUUUAGAUCAGAAUCAUGUGAAUCGUUCCGAUACAUCCGCAAAAUGAACUGUUCCAACUUACCUUGCACAGAAAUGAGAAUGACUGUGCCGAGGCCGAUGUGCACAAACCUACAUCAGCCUUCUCCUUCCCACAGACGGCCAUCACCUGCUCGGCCAAGGACUUCUCUACUUUCUUGAGGAACCCGGUGGCGUACCCGGAUCGACUGACCUCGAGCUCACAUCCCACUACCUCGACGGCACCGAGGUGGUCCUUCGCGAACCUCUCCACCAUCACCGUCGGGCACCGCGUCACCACCGCCCGCCGCUCGAACGCGCUGAACGCGUUCCACGCCGCCACGUCCACGUCCUCCACGUAGAACUUGGGCAGCACGGCCCUCGCCACCGCCUCGAUCUCCGACUCCUGCACUCCCGCGACGGCCACGAAGACCAUGAGCCUGAGCCCGAGCUGGCCGAGGCGGAACAGGUCGAGCAGGCGGAGCAGGGGCCACAGGAGCAGCAGCACCACGAAUCGGACCAAGCCCGACGUCUCGAACGCGACGAGCAUGAAGUAAGGGAAGGGGUCGACGUCUUUAAGAAGCGUACCCUCGAGCUCCGACACGAUGGAGCCGGAUGCCGGCCGGCCCGAGCGGCGAUCCUCCAUGCUCGUUCGACUCCUCUACGACGUGAAUGUAUUGUCGGAGUUCGCCAAUAGGAUUAAAGGAAUGAGGUGUUGAGGGAAGCUUUUGGCAACAGUAGAUGGAGGCGUGAGAAAGAUAAUAAGGCAUGAAAAGGUGGCGUGGGUUAGACCGGCAGCGGAACUUAGGGAAGGAAUCGGGCAGUUAAACUGUCCUCAACUACCAAUGGAAGUCUUGAGUGGGAUGGUGGAUUUAUAGACCUAAUUCGCAACAAACGACAUCUACCUGUAUCUUCUACUCUACCAUUUGGCCAUUUCUUUAUCUUCGUCUGCUUUCUUCCCUAAGCUGAUGCCUGACGUUGACCCAAUCGUUUCUAAUCUCGCUCAUGACUUCACAAAAACUUGCACUUGAGAGGACAUGCAAUGCAUGGGUGGAGUUGUGGCAAUUUAGAGACAGAAGGAUAAUUUUAUCGUCUUAGGUGGUUUGGAUAAAUUUUUUAGCUUGUGAGAUUGUCUUUGUUUUCGUUUCAUUUUAUUUUUCUUUUGGUCGAACGAAUGUGACUGUCGUAGUUUUUAGAUGAGAAGAGAUCUGCUUCAAUGAAGAUGAAGUUAAGAUACUUAUCUUGAGCAAAAGCAAGAAAGUAGAACCCAUGUUGAAGUAGAAAGUAGACAUAUGGAUCUUAUUUUGAACUAAAGAUAUCAACGUGAGAUACAUCUAACGAUGACAUGUACAUCGACGAUGGAAUUUGACCAUUUCUAUCAUGCUUCCUGAAGCUACAUCUACAAGGGGGCAAUAGUAUAACAUCUUAAUAAGUGUUCGACGAAGUGAACAUAUUUAGACUGCUCGUUUCUGUUGUAUCCAACUCUUACUUCGUUCAACUUCAUUUCACAAUUUAAUUUGGAGUCAAUCGAUGAGUGAAUGCAGGGCUGUUAAUGCAUCAGAUAAAGCCGAAAUCUUGAUGAACUCGACGUAGUAAUCGAGUCAAUUUGUUCAUCCGAUUCAUAAUCAGAUCGGACAAGAUUCCAGGUGGAUCUAAUUUGACGACUAUCUGGUCAAUUCCUUCUCUAUUAUUAUAUUCAAUAUUGGGGUUUUAGCUCGUCGAAAUGGACGGUUAAAGAGGAUCUUUAUUUCCGAAUUGGUUCACCUAAUAAUUUGGGUCAGCACGAAUCUAAACGAACGUAGGCAAAUCUUGGAUGUCGGCAGGCCGCCUUUGUAGAUUUGUCCAAAGCAUCCGAUGCCGAGUAGAUUCUGUAGGUACAGAUGGUUGUAGGAGAACCUAUGAGGUCCGUAUUCCACCUCCCAAUCUUAGUUUCUUCCUUCUUCUCAGGAUGAAAAGAACAAUGGUUAUGUUGAUUAACAAGAGGAUGAUUACUGCAGCUCCGUCCUAGAAAUCAAAGCAAGAUUUGGUAGCUUAGAGAGAUGGAUCGACGAUACCUUUUCUUCUGUUCCAUUUUACCCCAUACCUUUCAAAAAUUAAAGCGAUAUUUGGGAAUUGUCUGCAUGCCAAUCACAACAAAUCAAAUACAGGUAGCCUUAAACUAGACCUUCUCCCUCUUCCCUCCUCUCUCGGAUGAUGAGGGAAACCCCAUCGCCCCCUGCUCUCUUCCCUCCUCUUCGGGUUGCUUCCCCUACGCAUCCCUUCGGUUCCGGCUGUGGUUUCAUCGUUGAUCCCUCCUGCCGCUCGAGGAAAGGCUCCAGCCGCUGGCACCCUUUCAUGGUCGCAGGUACUCUCUUCCUCGUUGGGACGAAAUUCCAAUGGUCUGCUGGGUGAUGCAUCAUUGGAUAAAAUCAAACUCUCGUCGGCGGACUCGGUGGUUUUCGAUGAGGAGCACUUGCGAUCGUGGCGAGCACCAUGGAAACAUUGUCUGGUGGGUAGGUUCCUGCGACGACCACCACCGCUCGAUGGUGCCGGGAGAGACUCUUUUAACUUGAUUUCUUCGAGGCCUGAAUUCUAGCCCUUUUGGAGAGCAACUUUGGCACCUCUGGAGAUAAUUCUAGUUUAAAUUAUUUGCAUUGUGGAAAUAAGAAAAUUGGCUUAACGAGGGAGAUCUUAAGAGCUUUCAUUGUGAUUGCUUUAUGGCUCAUUUGGAGGGCUAUGAAUGAUGCUAAAUUUUCGAAUAAAAAUCUCACACUUAAUAAUAUUGUAGACACUGCUAUAGCUUUCUUGUGGGAUUAUGUUGAUAACAAAGAUUUUGAGAUGUAGGAGAGAAUGUCCUUAUGAGUUCAAUAGAAUCCACCAAUACCGAUGACUCGGGCAUAGGUUUUCUCAUUACGGAUAGUAAUGCUAUUCUUUAAUUUAUAGGUUACAAAUAUACUACUUGGAGGUUGAUAGUUUUCAAUAAAGCAAUUGCUUUCAAAGAAGUUUCAUAUGUUGCUAGUAGCCAUUGGGUGAGAGUUAGAUUCAGUAGGCAUUGUGCAACAUAUCAACCAUCCUUUGGAGCUACCAUAGCAUUCAAGGAAUGUUAUUGAGAAUAUUUUAGAUUUUCAAAGUAUAUAUGAGGAGGAGUUUAAGCGAUACAUAUAUUUAGGGAGAGAAAUCACUUAGUAAAUUGGCUAGCAAAUUAUUUUUGGAGGGAGGACUUCCCUCCUGAUCUCAUCUGAUUGCUGCUUUGAUUACCUCAUAUGGUUUUCACUUUCUUUAAAAAAAGAAAAAAAAAUAAUAAAAGUGGAGUCUUUAUUUCUUGAGGCUUACCAAAUCAUAAGAAUAAAAGCCGUUUAUGGAUUUAAAAGAGUCACAUAGGUAUGUUUACAACACAGCGACUGCUGCUACUGCUAUUCCACCCCAUGCAUAGACAAAGAAGGCCUCGUCUCCGAUAUGUUUCCAUCAAUCACAAAAACCACACACUCAGACGGGGUACAAGCAGCUCCCAUCGUCGCUCCUGGCCGUCGGAUCAAAGUUUGUGGCAAUCGGAUCAGUGCACCCUUCUGGAACUGGGACGCCCACCUGUUGAGCUGCUUUCCCUGCAUACGGGUAGUAAGCUUAACGCAUCAGCUAUGGCCGCAAAGCACCAUAUCUUUUGUACGUAAGAGACAGGAUGACAUAGAGAGUGCGAACCGUAGAACUGUCCCGUGUUAAUGGCGUCCUCAUUGGCGUCUCCCAGCGCGGCCUCGCUCAGGUACUUGUCGGCCAGCUGCACCCUCUUCACGUUCUCUUGCUCCUUCACCAGCAUGUUACCGUACUCCAUUAGCUUGGCGAGGCUCAUCUUGGGCUGGUCGAACGUCGGCGGUCCUUCCAGUGAGUUGACUAACUUCUUGUUCACGCUUUCAACCCCGAUCUCUGCAACCCAUUUCCUCACCUCAUCAUCAUACACCCUGGCUCGGACGGCGCCAAAGAAGUCUGCAUUACAUAAGCAACAUCAGCUAAGUUCGAUGCUAAAGAUCGAGUCUGAUGAACGCCCAGCUUCAUUUUCAUUUUGGGUUUCGGGAAGCUUACCGAUGGACUGGCCGGGGAACGAAUCGACGAGCUUGACAAUGUCCUCCUUGGCGACAUUGUCGGUCCUAAAUAUUCCGGCGCAGACGCCGAUGCGGUCCUCUCUGGUUGGCGCCCAGUAGAACUUCUCCAUACGACCAUCACGAAUGAGCGGAGCAUAGAGGGUGGAGAAGUCGUUUCCGGUGACGAUGAUGGGAACGCGGGGGUUCUCCUGCUUGUUGUACAUUCCCGGGAGCUGCACGUUGGUUGGGUUAUCGGCGAUGUUCAUGAGGGUGGCGUUCACCAUCUGGUUGUUGACCGUGUACUGGGUAGUGCCGCCGAGCCGCCCAGCUCCGGCGUCGAGAUCGUUGAUGAAGAGGCAGCACAUCUUCCCCUUCUUGAUGAUUUCGGCUGCCUCCCGGUACCUUUGCCUGAUCAAUUUUGCAGGCUCUCCUGCAUUCCCACUUUCCAGUUCUCCGGCACUCAUCAUUAUAGGGCUGCAAACAGGACGGUUAAAUCGAUCAUGAGCCUCCGAGGAAUUCACAAUGGCUUCAAACUAGCUACCAAGAAUCUAAUCAUACGACACAAGUGUUUGAUCCUUCUACAAGGUGGGGAAACACAGAAAUUGACUCAGAUAUCAGAUCAGGGUGUUCAUAGAAUCAGAGUGCCUCACAUGAAUAUGUUCAAAAUGUGUACUGAUUCAUUACAGGUGCAACAAUUGAAAUUGUAAAAAUGAAUGAUCGAUUGCUUAGAAUCCAAUCUUUCUCAUGCUGACAGAUUUAUAAUUAAUCGCAGGCAUUGUCUUCACAUCUUUAAGGGCAAAUGCCAAAAGGGAGAAAAGAUGAUGGACAACGAUGAUUUUACAAAGUCAGGUCGGAUGUCAUGGAACUCAGAUUAAAAUACAAGAGGACAUAUUGAUGGUGAAACUUCCAUGCAGAGAAACAGCAUACAAGUAUGAAUCUUGUCAAUGGCACCAUAUCAAGCAUAGGUUAGCAGUUGCAGAACAGAGACACAGCGGCAGCUAAGUUGUUAAUUUACUUAAAUAUGUAAAUUAAGGGUCUUUUAACACUACAGUGAUGAAAUUUACUUGUUAGCAAACUCUCUGUUCUAUGGGUUUGUAUGAACAAUUUGUUCUGGUUCAAAGGAACAAAAACUGAGUCGUAAAGAUUAUAGUGUCAAAGAUUCAUUGGUAGUAGCAUGUGUGGAUCGUAUAAUGAUGGAUCAGAGGUAUGUGGAAAAAGUUGUGAUAUCUCAAUUCUCUAAGAUUUGCAGUAUGUUCAAUGCUUACAGGAUUGAAGAACAAAGAAAUAUCUGCUUCUUUAAGCAGUUCAUCAUGCUCAAAUCAAUGAUUCAACCACAUGAUACGAGCUUACUUGAUUCCCAUCUUGGCGAACACGAGCUCACACUGGAAGGAUUUCCCCUGCCCUUUGCCUCCCCAGAUACCCAAAAUCAAUGGAACCUGUCAACAAAUCUUCGCAGUGAGAUUCACAUCGAACAUGUAUCAGUGCACCACCAACGAGAACAAUGAUCACCUUGAUGUUGGGCAAGUUCAUGAAGUUCUUGGAGAUGUGAACAACAAGUUUGUCCAUGAAAGCGGGAGCGAUGUAGAAUCCAUCCAUGGUGUUGUCGAGGUUGUACCUAACAUCACAACAGUAGUCAAGGCCCUGUCUCUACGAAGCAGACACAGAGAAAUGCCAUGGAGCUGCAUAGAGAAGAGGUUGUUGCAGUUGUCUUACUGACGGAGGCCCUGGCUGAUGUAUUCGUAGGAGCUCAAGACGGCCUCAUGAGUCCCAUCGCCCGUGGGUGCUUGGAAGAGGGAAUCGGCCAGCCCCUUCCCUCUGGUGAUGUCCUGCUGAUCAUCCGAUACAUCGUAAGCGAGCCCCGCCCACCGGUCUUUCUCGGUCUGCUUCGACUCAUCGAGGUCUGCAGCCAAGACCUUGAAGGUGCGAGUGGGGACCCUCCCGUGGCUGGGAACCGAGUUCACCUUCUUCAAGCUGCUCCCCAAGAACACUGAGCUAGGGAUCGAAGCUCCCGAGCUGGAGCCAUGC